UGGUGGAAGUUACAAUCCAACCCCAUCAACUCCCCCUAGUGGUGGAAGCUAUGAUCCAACUCCAUCACCACCCUCAGAUGGAGGUGAAAAUUGCAAUCCAACCCCAUCAACUCCUCCCGGUGGUGGAAGCUAUGAUCCAACUCCAUCACCACCCUCAAGUGGUGGUGGUGGAAGUUACAAUCCAACCCCAUUAACUCCCCCUGGUGGUGGAAGCUAUGAUACAACUCCAUCACCACCCUUAGGUGGAGGUGGAAGUUACAAUCCAACCCCAUCAACUCCUCCAGGUGGUGGAAGCUAUGAUCCAACUCCAUCACCACCCUCAGGUGAUGGUGGUGGUGGAAGUUACAAUCCAACUCCAUCAACUCCCCCAGGUGGUGGAAGCUAUGAUCCAACCCCAUCACCACCCACAAAUGGUGGAAGUUACAAUCCAACCCCAUCAACUCCUCCUGGUGGUGGAAGCUAUGAUCCAACUCCAUCACCACCCUCGGGUGGUGGAAGUUACAAUCCAACUCCAUCAACUCCCCCAGGUGGUGGAAGCUAUGAUCCAACCCCAUCACCACCCACAAAUGGUGGAAGUUACAAUCCAACCCCAUCAACUCCUCCUGGUGGUGGAAGCUAUGAUCCAACUCCAUCACCACCCUCGGGUGGUGGAAGUUACAAUCCAACUCCAUCAACUCCCCCAGGUGGUGGAAGCUAUGAUCCAACCCCAUCACCACCCACAGAUGGUGGAAGUUAUAAUCCAACUCCAUCACCACCCUCAGGUAGCAACUGUGGAACACCACCACAAGACCCCUCUACUCCAACACCCUCAGUCCCAACAACACCAUCAACCCCAUCAAACCCUCCCUUGGGAGGAGGUGGGUACUAUAACUCACCACCAACUUAUGGAGGUGGUAGCCCCCCAACACCAAUCACUGUGAGCCCACCUUCAACCCCAAUUGAUCCAGGCACCCCCACUAUCCCCUCCACACCCCCUUACCUUCCUUCCCCAACUCCCUUCACUGGUACAUGCAAGUAAGUUCCUACUUCUUUUCACUACAUUGCACUAUAAACUAUCAUAUGAUAUACAGCCACACUGUUAAGUAACCUAUGGGACAUUGUCCUCUAAAUUGCAGCUACUGGAACACUCACCCAGGAAUCAUUUGGGGAUUGCUAGGCUGGUGGGGAACCUUAGGCCAUGCAUUUGGUGUCUCUAGUAUACCAGGGUUUGGUGCCAGUCGCAGCUUACCACAAGCACUUUCCAACACUAGAACUGAUGGACUAGGAGCACUCUACAGAGAAGGGACAGCUUCCUUUCUUAACUCCUUGGUGAACAACAGGUUCCCUUAUACAACCCAGCAAGUCAGAGACAGAUUUGUAGCAUCUCUUGCCUCAAAUAAUGCAGCAGCAGCACAAGCCAACCUCUUCAAGAUGGCCAAUGAGGGGCGAAUGAAGCCUCGAGCAUGAUAUAGUUAAUUUGGUUUGUGUGUCAGUUUAUUAGUUUAGAAUAUUAUGUCUUAAGACUUAUUCUAAGAGUGUGUUAUUUAGGUUCUUAUCAUGCAUAAUAUGGAUAUCGUUUUACUUUACAAGUUCAUGUUAGCCUUUAUGGUUUCUUAUUUUGUAAUAAAGUUUAUAUAUUGUUACUUCAAUAGUUCAAUAUCUACAUUCAAAAAGUACAAACUUAUUUUCAUUAUAUAUGAAAAAAUGCAAAAUUCUUAUUAAGAUAAACUUCUUUCAAUUAUAUAUAAAAAUCACUUCAACUCACGCUAAAAUAGAAGGCAAAAUCAGAAUCUGUGAUAUUAUUCAUCAAAUAAAAACUGAGGAUUGUUAUAAGUACAGCACUAAAGGGGUCAGCAUCAUCUUCUAAGUUCUCAUUAAUAAAGGUUCACCUAAUAAGGAUGUACACAAUCUGUCAAAAGACAUUUAUUAUCCAUAAAAGUGUAAUUUAGAAACAGCCCUAGUCUAGAAAUGUCGAUUGUUCAUGCAACAUGAUUGCAUUCAAGUGAUAAGAAUGAUUUGGUGAGUCUAGAAAACAUGAGCAAGGUCCACACUGUAAAGAAUGAAGUUGUCUAGAAUUGUUUCCUAGUGAAAUUCAAGGGAACGGUUUUGUUGCCAAUAUAUAUGCAAACAGAGACAAUAGAUGGACCAAGAUGCUGGCAAUGGUGCCCCUAUGAGAAUUGGGAAUGAUGAGCUAUUGUGGCAGGGAAAGAUUAAAGCACCAUAUGAACUCCAAUUAAUGUCUUUUUAAGUGCCUCAACGGGAAGUGUACAAGGCUGUGGUAUGGUCCAGAACACUUGUACGGGCAGGUAAAGACUAUAAAAGGAGGGUAGUCUUCCCAGUGUAAUGUAAAAAGAUUAAUUAUAUCUUUAAAACACAAACACACAAACAAAACCCAAAACGCGUCUUCAACUUACCAAAUACUUAGGAGCAAGAUAAUAACUGGGAUAUUAAAGGCCUCUGCUACUUUUGUGUACUUCGUAGCUAGAAAGUUAUAUUGCUUUUUGCUAUAUAUUUAAUUGUGUUAAUGGUAAGGAAUAAAACGAAGAACAUGGAUCAAAUUCAUUGUGAUUUAAAAAAAAAAGGUAUUUUUAAAAUUCAAAAUAUAUGAUAAGAUAACCAAAAGCCUCAAAGAAAAAGUGGGGUUGUGCUUUUCUUUUUCACAAGUCUGGAAAAAAAAAUCUAAAAGAAAAUUAUAUGAUAAAAGCAUUUAUUUUAGUUUAUCCGAAUGAACCCAAAAUUUUUAAUAUUAAGAAUCCCAUUGUGUAUAUAACUUAUAAGUUCCAAAAGCUUUUGAAUGCUUAAGAUGACAAACAAGAGAAAUAUGAACUCGUCCAUAUGUCCAAGGUAGUCAAAUUGAGAUCCCAUCUAGGAUUGGAAAGGAGGAGAACAUGUAUAUCGUAAGAUCCUAACAAGAAUACUCAGACUCACAUAAAAUACAAAAUUGAUAAAUGUUUUCACCCCCACAUCACUUCCAUUUUCAGGAGCAUUCUUGUGCUUAGAACCUCCACUUGCAGGGACAAAAACAGCACCAGAUAAUUACAAGAAAUUGGGCGUUUAUUAGUAGAAAGGAGGAAAGCUCUCAUAAUACUAUAGUUUAUAUGUUUACUGAUAGAAAGGAAGAAAGUUUCCACAUCCCAUUCAUUGUUCCAGUAGAAGUGAAUGGAAUUAAAAGAAUUACAAGUUUAUUGUUCCCAUGGUGCCCUCAUAUCAAACACAUUAAACCUUAGGAUGAAUGGAAAAAAAGAUAAUUUCAUAAGUUGUUCCAUCCACUCCCCUGUCAAUUUGGAAGUAAUAGAGAGGUGUGGAGUGGAAAGGAGUCUCCCUGAUUCCAUUCCUUUUGUAUAUCCUUUCUAAACAUCCAAAGAAUGGCAUCUUUUACUAUCUCAUAUUUUUUUUCCUUUCCACCUCUCACCAUCAAUACAAGCAAAGGGUAAAACCCCAAGGAAAAUUGUAUGCAUUUUAAUUAAAAUACUAUCAUAAUUCUUCACUUUGAAACCAAUUAUCUAAAAUUCAAGAGAGAAAAUUAUAAACCCUCGUCUAAAACUCGCUUCAAUUUUAUUCAUUUUAGUUCUUAUUUAAAAAUUAUUUCUGCCUUUCUUAUUUUAAAAAUAUUGGACAAAUAUUUCCACAUUUUUUUCACCAAGUAUAGAUGUCAACUUGGGUUUCGAUCAUAGGGCAAAUAAGUCUAGUAGUCAAACUUGCAGAAUCAGACUCAUAAUUUGAUAGUCAUAUUAAAAAGGGUUUGAAAUGCAAGUCCACCAGGGUAUUCAAAUUUCAAAGAUUAAACGAUGAUUUUUGCUUCGAAUCUCAAGAAAAACGGUAGGAAGAUUAUAAUUUUAACAAAAUCUAGGAUAACAUACAGCAUACUGCUUGCCAAAGCACAUAUGGUAUUGGUGAAAAGGUUCAGAGGCAUACCUUUUACAUAGAUAACUUCUGACAGUAACACCUAGGUAAGAAAUUCCAACUCAACCUCUGAUAAAGAAACCACUAUAGAAGUUUUUACAUGAGUCAAUAAAUCUCGGAUUGAAUUUCAGGAAAAUUGAGAAGGAUAGGUCCAUCAUAUACAAGUGGUUUCAACGCAGGUAAUUUUUUAUCAGCUCAUGUGAGAUUCAAACCAUUUAAAAAUUUGGUCAGAAUGCACACUAGUCAUCUCAUGGUAAGCAAAUGCAAGGUUUAGCUCCUCUUGGAUGUGAGGGACCAGAUUCUUAUCCAGCAGAAGAGCUUUCUUCUCCUCAAGAGCCUUUUUCCAUUUGAUUUGACGCCCAUCUUUUUUCAUAUAACCAUUUUUAUCAAUAAAGCCCUUUUCCUGAAAGAACUCAAAUAACUUCCUGGAAAGAGCCUGAUCAAGCCCUGGAAUUCUGUCAGCUAAAGUAUUCGGCAACAACGGGAACUCCAUACAUUCAACAACACCAACAUCAAUCCCUUUAUCUUUUAAAACCUUCACAUAUUCAUCUAUUUUCUGCUGCCUAUAAAGAUCUUUUGGCAUGUGAACAAAAAGGGUAGGCGGAUAGUCCCCUUUAACAUCAAUUUGCUCAAACAUCCCCUCAGCAAUCAUGAGCACAGUACUACUAAACUUCAUGGCGGCGGCAAGCACAGACACGAAAUACCCUCCAGAAGAAGCACCCAAAGCCACAAGAGGAAGCUUCUCAAGCUUCCUUCUACCAAUCCACCACUCUAUAAUGUCUUUAACAACCAUCACUUCUUUACCAAGUGUCCAACAUCUUUGUGCACUUGAAAUAGUAAUAACAGCAAAACCUUGGGCAAGACCAUGGAGUACAAGCAACCGCUCUUCAGGCAAACCAAUGCAAUCAGGGCAUUCAGGGGACUUGUCCCAGAAGUUAAUGGCCCUGCCAUUGCAUCCAUGAGCCAGAAAGAGAACACCUUUAGGUGAUUCGGGCACUUGCCAUAUCAAAUCAGUUCCAUUCCGGAACUCUUUUUUCGGAUGCAAACUCACCAACGAGUCAGAGCUAUUCCAUUUUUGUUUAGGAAGCUCAUAAUCAUAAGCUAAACUGGGAUUAGCACCAUCACUAUCAUAAUGAAAUACUAAAAGGAAAACCACUAACAUUAGCAUCAAUGUGAAAAACAUGAGAAACACAGAGACCCCGCAAUUCUGUGCUCCAAUCCAUGGCUUUGGUUUGUAUCCACGCUUCAACAUGCAGCAAGAAGGGUUGAUAGAAAGGGUAGAAAAGAUCAAAAUUUUACCAAAAUUUCUUGAGGGAAGAUUGAUAAACCAUGAAGGGUCGAUAGCGCUAAAUCAAAUGCAUCAUUCAAAUAAGAAGGAGAUCAGCCACGGUGUUGAAAACAUACUCACAUGAAAUCACGCGGAGAAACUCCAAAAUCGACACUACCUCUGAAGUGUUGAAUUGAAUCUCUAGGUGCAACGACAAUCCAUUUCCAUUGUGUGAAUCACUGAAAUGUUGUGUGCGGUAAACGAUUUGCACUUUAGUCGGUUACUGAAUUGCUGUGAUUUGAGAACUGUUGUUUUCACCCCCUUCGUAUCCUAAGUUCAUCCCUUACCUUCUUGAUAAAUUUUUUUUAAAAAAAAAAAAACAAAAUACAUUAACACUUGAGACUUGGGAGUUGAGAAGCAUUCUGGUUGAGAUACGAUUUGUGACGCACCUGCCAUCUUGGGUCCCAGCCCGCACCUUUCAGACUCAUAUUGGGCUAACAUUAAAACACGGAGCACUUAACUAUUUAGUGGGCCAUUAUAGGGCCCACUCGGACGUUGCAUGUAGCAUGUUCUCUGUUCUGCAACAGAAGCACCAAAGACAACAAAGCUAAAUCAUGUGCAUGCUUGGUUCGUUCAGCCAUGAGCCACCUUCACCUUUGCUCCAUAAAUUUAGCUUUUGACUUUGUGCACUCCAUCACGUUCCUCCUUUUCAUAUUUGUCCUUUGAAAAACUGCAAAGCGGGUUCCAUAUUCUUUUCAAUAUGCCUCAUGAUGUUAUAUUUCUUUUUUCUUCCUUGCAAUUAUAUUCUACUUUUUUGUUUAACUCGUUACCCCUUUCAAAAUUUUAUAUAACUUUCCUUUGCAUAUUCAUUUUUAGUAAUUCUAAAGUGAAAUGCCGACCAAACUUAUAUGGAAAUAAUUUUUUUUGUUGUAAAUUCAAUAUAAUAUUGUGAUUCACAUGCGAUCGAAAUUGACAAAAAAAAAAAUCUCAUCUGAAGUUUAGAAAUAAAAAUAGAACUUAUACCGAAUAUAUUAAAUAUGUAUCCUAAAAUAGAAUUUAAUUAGGCGAAGAGUCCAUAAAUCUACAAGGCUCACUAUCAGUGCAAGCUAAAAAAAUAUUGAAUGAGUCAUCAAAAUGGUGGCAUAACAUAACAUGAAGCCAAAGAUAGUGAUAGCUCAACAGUCAAGAAGUAGAUAUAGGUGAAAAAAGACAGCAUAUGUUUCAUAUGGACUGAAGAUUAAAGUGGUAAGGACUGAAUUUAAUGUUAAUAGUGAAUAUAUACUCCGUAUAAUAUAAAGAUUUAGUAAAACAUUGAAUGAAAAUAAUCUCUCACAAAAACCAAAAAGGACAGACUUAAAAGUUGAAAUUAAUUUUAAGUUAUUAAUUAUUUGUUGUUCAAAUCCAUAAUUCUAUCCACUCAUCUUAAUGAUGUGAGGAAUGUGAGGCUAAAUUUAUUUUGCCACAAGAAUCAUUUUGCAUUAUUGAGAAAAAAAAAUCUGAAUAUAUGUACAGCCACAACAUCAUAAUCCAUUUCAUUUUGUAUGACUCAAGGUAGCUAGUGUGAGUGCCAUAUUUCACGUCGAUAUUAUCCUGAAUCAACAUGUCCAUUAAUAAGUAAUAACGUUAUCAUAGUGGGCUCGGUGUGAUACAAUUCAAGAAAAAUGAGGUGGUGAUUUCCCAUAUUCAUCAAAAUUAAUUUUGUCUAUGCAUAAUACAUUAUUGUUUAAUUAUUGACCAAAGAUAAAAGACAACAUGCUUGCUCCAACUCUGCAUCAAGGAUCAAUCAGCUGGAGUGGUUCCGUUUGAAUAUAUAGGAGAAAUUAAAGUCAGACAAUCACGUCGUAGUCCUUUGUGUAUACUGCAUAUACUGUUCCUUUUUAAAAAUAAAAAAAAUAAAAAAAACUGUUCAUGCAUGUAGGAGGUGUUUAAUUUUGGUAGUCUUAUCACGUUCGAAAGCUUUAUAGCACUAAAAGUUGAUCAAGCAAUUUAACACUUAGAAUUUUUUAAAUAAAAUUUAGAGUUUGAUCUUUUACUUGAAUAUGAAGUCACAUUUAAUAAUAUUAAUUUACUCUGAAAUGGAUUGAUUGGGUGAGAAAUGUUUAAUUAUGUGUUAAAUAAGAAAUCUCUAAUUAAAAAAAAGCUUUAUAACAAUUUUUAAGGGCGGUCCACAAGUAAUUAAGAAAUAAAAGGAGAAAUUGAAUAUUUACGAAGACAUUCAAUUACAUCUUUAAAUUAAAUAGUUAAUUAAAAAGACUCUAGGAAAAAGAAGAAGAAAACUAAACUAAUAGAUACUUGACAAAGGUAUUUGUAAAACUCAUUGUAUUUGUAUGAGAUAUUGCAUCAACAUGCAUAUAUCAAUGCAAGUGUCAAUCAGAAUCUAACUUGAGUGUAACUAUCUUAGUUUAGAGUUGGUAUACAUGGUAUAGAUUAUUGCUAGACCUGUUAGUUAGUUCCACUUUGCAUAUAUGAGUGCUUGCUGUUUGUUGUAUCAGAUCACAUGCAGCUCGCUCUCAUUAUAGCUUAGUUUCCUCACUCUAUAGUAAGUUACUUUUAUGGAUUUCCUUUUUUAACUCUUUUUGAGAUUUAUGAUAUUUUUCCUCAUCAACUUAGAAUUACUUGUAUCCAACCGAAUUCUGAUAAUAGUAAUCUGUAAUUAAUUCACGCUUCUCGUUAAUUGAAGAAAAUUUUCUUUGAUCAAAGUAAAUUUUAAUUUGUAAUCAUAAAUGAUUUUUCAUUAAUUAGAAUAGUUUGGGAUUUUAAAAGUUUCAAGGUUUUAAAUAUUUUAUAUUUAUAUCUAUUAUCAUUAAAAUAACUAUUUAUCAAUUGAGUUAAGUUUAUAUUUAUUUAACUUUUAUACAUUUUUACAUAUAUAGCUGUUCGUUGCACGAAAUACUAACUACUUUUCUUUUCUUUUCUUUUAAUUAAAAUUUAAUUAGGAGAAUGAAAAAAGAGACAAAUAAUUAUUAAACCUACUAGUUAUAGUAGUAUUUUCUUUCUAUUAUGACUUUUACUUUCCAAUGUAAUCAUAUCGUUUUACGAGAGGAUCUAAAAUUGGUAGAAAGAGAAGAGAUAAGUGUCCUUCACAUCCGAUGUCCCCCUAGCCUUUUUUUUCCUCCUUGUAUUUUUAAUUAACUUAUUGUUUUUUUACUUUAUCAUGUUAUUUUUGUUUUUUUGAACGAAAAAAAAAAAAAAAACCCAGCCUCAUAUGUACGUAAUUUGGGUGUCACAAAUUGCAUCCUCAACAAAUCCUUCAAAGUGUUGCAUAAAACCGAGCAUCUCACUAAAACCUUCUUUUUUUUAAUCUUGUUAGCGAAUUCCUUAAACAGAUUAAUUAGUAAAAAAUAUUAAAUACACCCUUAUUAAUUUUUUAAUUCAAAUAUUUAAAUUAGUCUACAUGUUAAAUAAUUCUUACAUUACUAAUGUAAUAAAUAUUUAUUUUUUCAGUAUUUUUAAUCAUUAUUUUUAAGAUAUGUUUGAGUUAAAUUUUAGGCAAAAAAAUAACAAUAAAGAGUAUCAUAUGAUCAUAUUUAUAAAAAUAAAAAAAUAUUACUAUUAUAUUUAAUUAAUUUACGUUAGUCUAUCAUUUUAUUUUCUAUAUUUUAAAUGAUAGUAGUAUUUACUAAAAAUAAAUUCAGAUCCCAGUGUUGGUUCUCAUUAUAUUUUUUUAGUGUCAUUUUUACCUAUAUGCAUUCCUAUCUAAUUCUUUAGGUAUACAAUCACUACCACUUACCAUAUAUCUUUUUCAGAACUAUGCAUUUUUCAAAAAAUUAGGUAAACACUCACUAAUAAUAACCAUUUAAUCUUUUCCUUGGGAGAAAAAUCCCGGUGUAGAAACUGAGAUCUAACCUACAGUCGUUGCAACACAAAAAAAAAAAAAAAAAAAAAAGAUCUAACCCUACAGUCGUUCCCUUAUAUAUACAUAAAAAAAACCCUACAGUCGUUGAAGUUUAUAAGUUUAUGUUUUCUCCGUUAGCAUCGAACUACAAGCUAGGAAUUAAGAUUUCACACGCACAAAUUAUUAAUAAUUCAGAUUAAUAUUAGUAUUAGAAUUGAACUAAAUCUACCAAUUGGCAUGGACUGGUUGAACCAGAAAUUAAUAAUCAAACCUGCUCAUUUAACUCUAGAAACCAGUCUUACAAAAAACUGGUAUAAAACCAAUUGAACUAAUCCAAAACUGGACGAAUCAUCCAACACUUGUUUGAAUCAGUUUGCCCAAAAAGCCAUUUCUAUUUUAUUUUUUUAAAUUAAAAGCUUAAAAUUAUAAUGAUUGAUAUAAUUCAAACAUAGUAUUAUGAUGAUAGAUAAUUAUAUUAAUUAUAUUUAUUUUUUAAGUGUAGUUACUACUAAUAAAUAUUAUUAUGAGUUAUUAAAUUUAAAUAUUAUGACAUAUUUGAUUUAGUUUCAUAUUUAAUUUUUAAUAUUAUGAAGUUAUAAAUAUAUUAUCUGGUUUUUUGUUUAAUACUAUUUAAUAUCUUAUAUUAAAAAUAAAAAUAAGGUUAUUAAUUACUAAUUAAACCAUUUCACCACCCACUCUAGUUUUUAAAACCUUGAUUCAGAUGUGUUGCUGUACACAACGUUUUAAAAACUGGGCCGUAUGCCGUACCAAAUACUGCUUAACGUCAAUUAAAUCUAAGUGGUAGAUUCCGUCUCAUAUGUCCAUCCAAAUCUAAUUUAUUAAUUAGGAGAGCAUUGCUAAAACCCAUUCCAAAUAGUAGAAACUGUGAUAUCACUUACUACUAGUAAAUUUAAUUAAUUAGAUAAUAUUAAUAAGGAUAUUGUUAAUUGAUGCUCUUAAGAUAUUGAUAAAGAAUUAAAAGAAAAAAAUAUUUAAUGUAACAAUAGUGUAAAAAACAGUGAUUAUAACAUAAUUUUGUACAUUUAAAUAAAAGUAUUUUUUUAGUUCUUUAACCAACAUGAGAGUAUUGAUUAAUAUUUGUUUAAUAAUAAUUUACAACUAGUUAAAAAAAUAUUUUUUAAGAUUUAAAAUGGUAUUUAAUAUCAUGAAUAUAUAUAUAUAUAUAUAUAUAUAUAUAUAUAUAUAUAUAUAUAUAUAUAUAUAUAAUUUUCUGAAUGUAGGUUUGGCUAGCUUCUCUAGCUAAAAUAAGUAUAUCUCAUGAAAAAACAAUAAUUAAUAUUUUAAAAAAUUCAUAAUUUAUUAUAUAUGUACAUAAUAUUAACUAUUAAUCUUAUUUAUUUUUCUCUCUAAAAUAAAUAAGCCCAAAUAUAUAACUAUAGGCUAGAUAUUUUACUUGUGAUUGCUUUCUGCUGUUUUCUGAUCAUGAGUACAUCAAGCGUUGUGUUGCACACAUAAUUCGAUAAUAUAUAGUUUUAGAAUAUGAUCAAUAACUAUAGAGUAAUUUAAAAAAUGGAUACAAAAAUAUAAGAGCACAAAAGUGCAUGGGAAAAAAUUGAGCAACACGUAGAGCAGUGGCAGACCUAUGUUGAUUUCAGGGUGUACUUGCCCCUCUCAUUUUUUUAAAAUUUAUUAAAUUUAUAAAUAAAAUUUUAUAUUUUAUUUUAUUUAUAUUUAUAUAAUUCAACCUGAUUUUAUUUUUAUUUUUUAUAUGUUCUCAAGAAGUUGGAGACAGAAUCACCAACCUCAACAUUAAUUUCGAAAAGAAAAAAAAACGAGUGAAAGUGGUACAGUGGUAGUAGUUCUUUUUUCUCUUUUUGAGGGACGUACUUCUAUGUUAAUAGUCAUUAAAAACGUUAGAUUUCCAAAAGAUAGUACAUUAUUAAAAGUUUUAAAAUAUUAUUUUUUAGUAUAUCAAUAAAAAAAAUUAAAAGUAUAAGUUUUUAUUAAAAAUCUUAUUUUGUUCUGUUAUUAAAAUUGUUAUUAAUAGGAGUAUAUCCAAGUUAUUUUUAAAAUGAUAUUAUUAUUAUUUGUUUAACCAAUAUUUUUAAGAUAUUAGUUAAUAAGAUUAAUUUUUUUAAAUUAUUGAUAGGGAUCAUAAAAAAUGUAACAAAUUAAAAAAAAAUUGAAGAGAAAAAUAAAUACAUUCAAUGUACUUGUUCAAUACUUUUAUGUAAUCAAGAAAAUUGUUAUGUUUCAUUCAUGCAAAUAAAUAGAUUUUAUUUUAUCAUUAGCACUAUUAUUUUUCAAACAAAAAAAUUUCAAUAAUUUAAAAUGAUACUCUAAGACACUUUUAAAUAAUUUACACACACUAAAAAAUAUUAGCAUUAAAUUUAUUAAUAAUCUAUAUUUUUUUUCUAAAAUACUCUCAAAAUUAUUGAGAUUCGUACUCUUACUUUUUUGUUUAUUAAAAUUAUUUUUUACCAAAUUAAUUAAUAUGUGUUAGUUAUUUUUUCUAAUUUUCAUAAUAGAGAGAAUAAUUUUAUCUUAUUAUUUUAUAAUAUGUAUUAUAAAUUAAGAGUAUUUUGGUUAAAAUAAAUUAAUACAGGAUAUAACUUGAAAAAAUCUUAUAAAAAGGGUAAAUAAAUUUUAAAAAAAGUGUUUAAUAUAUAAAGAUGGAGGAAGUAUUAAUAUUUAUUUUAAUUUUUAAAUAUUUUCACUUUUUAUAAAUGAAAAAAAUAAUAAAAUCGUAUAAAAAAUAAAAAUAUAAUAUAUAAAAUGUUGAUUAGGCCUAUCAAUUUAUAUAUUAUUUUUUUAAAAAAAAUAAAGUGAUCAAAUACUACAAAAAAAAAUGAAAUUGAAAAUACUGCAUGUGGUCAUAACUCAUAAGUAAAAGGAAGAUAACUGUAUCUCAAAGAAGUGGCUGGCACGUGAUGGAGGUGUCGGUGAAAGAGUGUCAAAAGAGUAAAUAAUGCGAAAAACGAGAUCGCAACACCAACGUGUCCUUGCAAUAUAAUCAUUUCCCGCGACUUUGGUUUUCGCAUUUCCACUCUUUCUUUAUCUCACUGCAACACAGAUCCGGUGCCGAUUCGAUCGGAGAGAAAGCUAGCUAGAUAUAUAUAGGCGAAUGGAAUUCAGAAGAUGAAGUUCUAUGUAUCUGCCAAAGACGCCCGAAAAGGAUCCGUCAAGACAACUGUUCCUGCCGACACCGUCGCCGCUCGCCGGAUUUCCAGCCGGACGGUGCUGGUCCUCGGAAUCGUCUUCCUGCUCAGCUUUGUGAGAGUGGCGGUUUUGGUGCUGGAAUCUUCUGCGGUGUGCUCCACCUUUGGUAAUUCUUCUUUUCCGAUUUCUUUUUUACUUUUCGUUCGUAAUUCUUGUUUUUACUGUUUCGUAGUAGACAGUUCGGUAAGGAAAACAGUUGAGUGUGAGACAAGUACAUAUGAAUGAAUUUCAUUGUACACCAAAGUACCUCACCAUAUCAUAGUGAAAAUAAUAAAUACCAAUAUUUACUAUUUUCAGCUUUAUUUGUCUUCUUCUAGGUCCAUCAUAAUGUCAAGGACUUUUCAAAAUUCUGUUAACGAUUUACUUUUAUAUUACUAGUGUUUUUAUGAAACAUUUUUGAAAUGAAAUGUUUAUAAAUAACAAAUAUUUGCUGCANNNNNNNNNNNNNNNNNNNNNNNNNNNNNNNNNNNNNNNNNNNNNNNNNNNNNNNNNNNNNNNNNNNNNNNNNNNNNNNNNNNNNNNNNNNNNNNNNNNNGUAUUCUAAAGUCUAAACACAUGCAUAUCAUUCUCUUUUUUUUUAAUAUUUAUUUUUUCAUAGACAAAUGCAUGCAGUUGUUUCAAUCUAAACUUAAGAUUUAUCAUUUUUAAUGAUGUUAACUAAUUAAUGGUUACUAAUUCUUUUUUUUAUAGAAGAAAUGGUUACUAAUUCUUAAUCACUAAUCAAGAUUGAAUCUUAAUCAUUGUAAUUAAUUUUUAUGCUAGAAAUUAAAUCAUAAUAUUUUAUUAUUUUAAUUUCCUAAAUACUAAAGAAAGAAUCUAAAAGUAAAGGAAGUGUCGCCUUUCUAUUUAUAUUGUGUUCUUUUGUUAAACUUCAACUUUAAAAGAAAUAAGAAAUUAGAAACAAGUGAUGGAGUAGUAAAAAAGUCACAAUUGUGAAUAUGAGACAGAUUUUUUUUAUAAAAAAAAAUUCGAUCCAGGUUUCUAAAAUUUUCGUAAUUACCAUCGUAACAAAAAUAUCAUGCAUGUCCUCAUUUGUUUCUCAAAGUCAUUUCUUAAUUCUUCCAAUGAUAAAACCUUUCAAUAAUAAAAAAUAAAUAAAUCUUCCAAUGACAAAAGUACAUAUAUGGAGGUUCAUUUUCCAUCAAAGUCAUAUGUUCGAAAAUACACCAAAUGAAUGUGGACUUGACUAAUUAAAUAAGUUGAGUUAACAGAAUUAAGCUCGACUUGACUAAUUAAAUAAGAAUUAAUUAACUUAACUCAAACUCCGAUUCAAAUUUGGUAUGACUGUUUUUUUAGUCUAAAUUUGAUUCUAUUCAAAAUUGUUAAAAAUUUAGUUCAACUUGUUUGUUUGGAUAAUUUGAAUUAUGCUAUACAUUUUUAUUAUUUAUUAUGUUAUAUGUUUUGAUUUAUUUAUUUCAUACAUAAAAUAAAAUUAUUUUGAAACCGAUCAAAAAUUAAUUAUAUGAAUUGAAUUGCAUGUGUAAAAAUGUUAAAUAUAUAACGACGAAACAUAAAGCUUAUUAGAAUAUUACAAGCUAUUUACGAUAUUUUAAAGUAAAACUAAGUAAAAAUUUGCCUUUCUAUAAUUGAAUGUGUAAUUCUAUUCAGUAAAUUAAAAUUAAAACAAAAAAAAAUCAAUAUUUCAUAAUUUUUUUCUUCAGUUCUAAUUUUUUUAAUUCCUAUAAUUUCUAGAAAAAUGUUUUAAUGAAGAAUGAAAAAUUAUCCUAUCAAACAUUACUUAAUAACAAUAUCAAACAAAUAUAAUUUCAGAUGGUAAAAUUAAAUGAAUUUAUAAAAUUUUCUUACCCUAUUAACCAUUCCCAUAUUUUUAUCAUUUAAAACUAUUAAUUUUUAUGAUAACUAGCAUUUUUGUUUAUGUAUUAAAUGAGAUGAGUAUUUUGUAAUAAUAAAAAUUUAUACCUAAAUUUUUUAACAUUUUUUAAUAUUCAAAUUAUAGGUAUAUAUAAUUUUUUUAAUAUAUUAAAUGAGAUGAGCAUUUUAGGUAUAUUUUUUAAUAUUCAAAUUAUAUCAUACCUAAAAUUUAUAAUAAAUACAAUAUUUAUAAAUUAUAUUUUGAGUUUAUAGUCAACAGUUUAAAUUAUGAUAUAAAUUUGUUUUUAAUUAUUAAUAAUUUCUUUAAAAACAGUUGUUGAUAUUUAAUUUUAAUAUGAAGAAAAAAAUUAGAUCAAGAUAGCUAGGCAAUUAAGAAGAUAUUAUUAUUAUUAUUAUUAUAUAUAAAGGAAAACGUUAACCAAUGCAAUAAGGAUUAAGGGUAUCGGUUAAGAAAGUAAAAAAAAAAUUAUCCGAAUUCAUAAAAAUUCAUUUUUCUAUAAAUUUUAAAUGAGCUUUCGUAUUAUUUUUAAUAAAAAAAAAAUUCUGUUUUACUAAUUUUUUAACUAGUAUUCUUAUAGGAGCAUUGGUUAUAUGNNNNNNNNNNNNNNNNNNNNNNNNNNNNNNNNNNNNNNNNNNNNNNNNNNNNNNNNNNNNNNNNNNNNNNNNNNNNNNNNNNNNNNNNNNNNNNNNNNNNUGAGCCGUCGAAACAAGUAAAAAGAUAGUAGUACUAGUUUAAGAUGAUAGAAAGGAUUUUCUCUCUCAUUGAUAAGAUAAUUAAUAUGUUAAAUGCGUAUCCGCAUAAAAGAGAAGAAAAAUAGUUAAAGGUGUUUAAUUACAAGAGUUGAUGGAACGAAAGUCUCACUCUUUAUGUUAUUCAUUAUAAUUUAUUUUAUAUAUAUAUAUAUAUAUAUAUAUAUAUAUAUAAAUUUAAAAGUCAUACUUAAGUUAUUAUUUUAUUAAUAGUGGUAUAUAAAAAUCAUCGCACUGAUAGGAUAUAUCAAAAUUAAAAUUACAUAUUUACCCUGUUUAACUCAAAAUUAUACAAAGAUAAAUUUAACUCCUAAAUCAUCCUUAAAAUGAGCUCAUCUUUGUUGAAAAGUUGAUGACAACAUCUAUACAUGAACCAUUGUAAUUGUUGCAGAUUGCGUGGGAUCGACAUUUUUCGGCGGAGGUGACGCCGAUCUGGUAGAACCAAUCUAUUGUUAUUAUUUUUAUUGACUUGUUUAUUUUAAUUAGUUGAAUAAACAUCUUAUAACGUUAUAAGUAUUCAUUUUUAAUAAAUUAUAUUAUCAUUAAUUCGUUUUAAGGUGAGCUGGAUAAUGCUGGAAUAAAUAAUUUUGAAUUUCUAUGAUUUAUUUGUAUAAAAUCAACGCAACACUAAGUACACUAAUAUAUAUUCUUAGUAUUUUUUUAUUGAUUUUUAAUAAAAAGCUUAUUAUUUAACUGUCUAUUUUUGUAAACACUAAUACCAGUUGAUUUUUAACUCUUUCUUAUUAUAUUGUGUAGUCAACAGUAAUGUUAAGAUAAAUACCAUAAUGCUUUAAAUUUAAAAUGAAAUGAAUUUAAAUACCAACAUUGCCAGCUCACAGACGUGAAAGAUGAUAUGUGUCGUAUGCGAGGUAUUCAUACGGGGAUCCAACAAAAAAAAAAUAAUAAGACAAAAUAAAAGUUUAGAAGAGAGACUAUCGAAUGAUAAGUGACAACAACAUUAAACAUAUAAUCCAUGAUUUUAACAUUUGUUAUGCCCGUAAUAAAUAUCUUACGGAUAUAACACAUGUUAGAAAAAUAUUUAAAAUUUGAGAAAAUAGGUUAGAAAUAUAUUUUGAUAAAAAAUGAUAUUUGACUAUAUAUUCGCUUAAAGAUUAGUUACCGUUUGACUUGCAUGCCAGAGAACCAACUAUUAUAAAUUACGCUUAAAUUGAACUUUUAUUUAGACACCACAAUGAAUCAAUUAUUUAAAUUGCAUGUGCUGAAAUUUAGUUUUUAUUUAGAAUAACGAGGACAGUAAGGAUUGAUUAAAUUAAUAUUCUAAUAUCAUCUUAUAAAACUGAUUGAAAAAACUUUAACACUUUGGUGAAAGCACAUAAAUGGUUUUAUUUAUAACUUUGUAAGUUUUAAGUGAAGUUUUAUCCCUUAAAAAAAAAAGGGAAGUAUUAUAAUUUAUUAUAGUUUUUAUAGUAAGAAAAAAUAUAUAUGAAAAAACUAAAUGAGAAAAUUAUUUUAACUUUUAUCUCAAAUUUUACGUUCCCGGAACUUUCAUUCCCGUUUUUUACGGUGAUAGUGUAUGUAUAUGCAUGAAGAAACUCAGAGAUGAGCUGACCAGAGCGCUAAUAGAAGCAAAGGUUAUCGAUGGCAAUGCUAACGAAGGAGGAGCAAUAAUGUCAUUUAACGAGCUUGUGAAAGUGUUGGCGUCAAAACAAGACCUCAAGGCAUUUGCUUUCAAGACCAAAGCCAUGGUACACACAAAAUUUACUGAUUAUUUACGUUGUUAAUUACUCUUAGGAUCGAUAUAGUGUAAUGUCUGAUAUGUCAUGUUGAUAUAUAUGUAGCUGUUACGGAUGGAGCGUGAGGUGCAAUCAGCUAGAAAGCAGGAGUCACUUUAUUGGCAUAUAGCUUCACACGGUGUUCCUCAAAGUCUGCAUUGUCUUUGUUUGAAGUUGGCUGAAGAAUACGCUGUAAAUGCCAUUGCACGAUCUCGUCUACCUCUUCCUGAACAUGUCUCUCGCCUCGUUGACCCCACUUUUCACCACAUUGUUCUCCUAACCGACAACGUCCUUGCGGCUUCUGUUGUUGUAACCUCCACUGUUGAAAAUUCAGCCAACCCUGAAAGAUUAGUCUUUCACGUUGUUACUGACAAGAAGACUUUCACUCCAAUGCAUACUUGGUUUGCCAUCAACUCUAUUAACUCAGCAGUUGUUGAAGUUAGGGGGUUACACCACUAUGAUUGGUCUAAAGAAGUGAACGCUGGUGUUAAGGAUAUGCAGGAAACUAAUAACUUAAUUUGGAAGCACUACUACAGCAACUAUAAACAAAAGGAGCUUGACCAUAGUGAAGACCAUAACAGAUAUUUGGAAGCUUUGAGGCCUAGCAGCCUUUCCUUGUUGAAUCAUCUCCGCAUCUAUAUCCCUGAGGUAAUACAUAUUAGUUUUCUUUUUUCUUUAGCCAGCCCUAAUGCUAAGGUCAAGGUUUUAAAAACAAGUCUACAACCACAUUUUCAAUGUUGGAAGGUUUCUGUAGUGUUUGCAACUGCAAUGCGAUUGCAAUUACAAUUGUGGCUGUAUUCAUUCGCAAUUUCCUAUAAGAGGAAUACUAGUGACAUUUGUUUUUACUAAAAUUUAUUAAAAAUUAUUAAUUUUAACUUCUUAUUUAAAAAUUCUCUUUCAUGAUUUAGAAAUAUCAUCCACCAAAAUCGGUAAUCAUUCCACUUUCCUGCAAUAUCAAAGAACUCAACGAAAUUAUAUAGGACUGUACGCAAUUUAAAACCUUGAGUAAGAUUUUAGUAAUAAAAACACGAAUGCUCAGUGAUGAUUCAUGAUUGUUUCAUAAUCUGAUUUUUGUGGACCAUCACAGCUCUUUCCAGAUCUAAACAAGGUAGUAUUGCUGGAUGAUGAUGUGGUAGUACAACAUGACCUAUCUUCUUUGUGGGAACUAGAUCUUAAUGGCAAAGUCAGUGGUUCAGUGUUCAAGUCAUGGUGUGAGAACAGUUGCUGCCCUGGAAACAAAUACGUCAACUUCUUGAACUUUUCACAUCCUAUCAUAUCAUCCAACUUUGACGGUGAUAAGUGUGCAUGGCUCUUUGGCGUGGAUAUAUUUGAUCUUGAAGCUUGGAGAAAAUCAGAUAUUACUAAGACCUAUCAUCAAUGGCUGAAACUUGUAAGUAUAUGUUGAUGAAUUUAAGGAAGUUAGGCGACUGCAUUUCUCUAUAAAAUGUGUUUUGACGAAUUAAUAUCCAUAUAUGCUUCAAAAUGGAACCAGCAAGAUAAUGUUUCAACUGCACAUUCUUCCUUUUUAAGGGUGUCUCAUCAUUCUUGAUGAACAACAACACGAGUGAUUUGAAAUGUUCAUAAUUUUUUUUUAUUAGUUAGUAUGAACUAUAAGAAGUAUCAAGCAGUUGUAUUAUAAUAUCUUAUCUUACGAAAAUGAUACAUGGACACCUGGAGAGAAAUAGAGAUAUAUGAAAGAAAAAAAGGUGUAGAUAUAUAUAGUAUGUGAUAUAAUAUGUAGAUAUAUAUAACAGUGACAAGAAAAGAGAUAAAAACAAAAAAUUAAGAUUUGCUAAUGUAGACAUGUUUGGUUUUUUAGUAUCAUUAAUUGCAUGUAUAGUUGUCUGAUUUGAAAUUUGACACAGAACGUCCAGUCUGGGUUGACAUUAUGGAAUCCAGGAAUGCUCCCAGCUGCCUUGAUUGCUUUUGAGGGUCAAGUGCACCCCAUAGAUACAUCAUGGCUCGUCACUGAUUUAGGUUAUCGCCAUCGAUCAGAAGAAAUAGGCAACAGCAUAGAGAGAGUGGAAACUGCUGCUGUUGUUCAUUUCAAUGGCCCAGCAAAGCCGUGGCUUGAAAUUGGUUUACCUGAGGUUCGAAGUUUAUGGACUAGAUAUGUAAAUUUCUCCGAUAAGUUUAUUAGCAAAUGUAGGAUUAUAGUGUGAAGAGACAAAGUUAACUGUUCCACCUCCAAUAUUGAGAUAGAAUCAAUGAUACCGUAUGGAACAAGAGGGAAGAAGGUCUUGCCUUCAGUCUCUGACUUACGGUAAUUAUCCAUGCAUAUGUCCAUAUAUAAAUAGCAAAUAGAUGACGCAACUAUACAAUACGUCGCGUACCAUGUUAGAAGAAGCUAGCAGCAGCUCAUGCAGUUUAAGAAUAUGAAGAUACAAGCAUCAUAAUGCAUGCAGUAGUCUAGUAAAUUAUUUUAUUUUUCUUAAUGUCAUUGGAGAUAUUGUUUUACUUGAACAACAUUUGUAUCUUGUUAAUUUUUUAGUUUAGAUCCUUGCUUGAAUUGAAUGUAUAGUUAAAUUAAUGGUUAUCAAAUCUCCUUACAUACUAUAUAUUAACCCUUUUCAGUACGAUUAUUUUUAAUUUUCUAGAUUGAUUCUAGGUAUAUAGAUGCAAAAUCAAUUGAUUAAAAAAGCAGGUUGAAUAUUUAGGAUCAAUAAGUGUGGCUGAAGCAAAUUUUGAUUAACAAAAUUAAAAUAAUUUUGUUGACUUUAUACGAGAGAGUUAUAAUGUUGGAGCCUUUUUCAUUGUUUAUAUGAUUUUUUUAAUAUAUGUCAACUUUUUUGUUUUAUAAAAAUUAAUAAUAAAUAUUAUUUUUAUUGGUGAUCCUAAUGUUUAAACUUUAGUUAUUCUAUCUUUAAGUACCAUCCUGAUUAUAUUUUUCUCUUUAAAUUUAACUUAUACCUUUUGAAUAAUUAAUCCUUACUUUACUUUAAGUAUGCAUCUAUAUAAAUGCAUUCCAUUAUUUUCACGAACACUAUAUUUUUUUAUAUUUAAAUAAAAUAAUAGCAAUUAAAAUUCCGACAUAUUUAAUAAGAGGAAAUUUAAAAUUAAAAUGAAAAUUAAAGUGCCCAUAGAAGACACUGAUCAAUAUGUAAUUUAUUUUAUAUUUGUAAUAUGUAUCUAGGCAUAAUGUUUUAAUGGUGACAGUCUUCAGGAAUAAACUUGCUUUUUGAAAUUAGUGAAUUUUUUAGCUUCCAGGUAAUAUAAAAGUUAAUUUUAGAUGUAUAUACCACAUAAUUUUAGAAAUAUAUUUACAAUUUUAUCCUAUAAAUGAUUAAUUUUUAUUUAAAUAAAAAUAAAUUUCUAUAUAAAUUUUUAAAAUUUAUUUCUAAAUAAAAAUAAGUCUUUUAACAUCAAUUAUAAAAAUUAAUUCUACUAAAAGUUAAAUGCGGAAGGAUAUUUUGAGUCAAAAGAGGCCCUAACAGAAUUUGAUAUGUAAAUCUUUAUAAUUAUGUUUUUGAAAUAGGACUUCCUUGAAAGCACUGCAACACCAAGCUUUUAAAUAACGAAUAAUAUUAUUUAUUUAAAAACAAUUUUUACACACUCACUUAUUUAUUUAUAUUAUACUACCAUUUAUCUUACAACAUUUGUUGCUUUUUCUAUCUCUCUUCCUUGUAUAUAAUAACAAAAUUCUUAAAUACAUAAUCUGUGAUCAUGAAAGUUACCUUUCAAAAAGGAGGCAGAGGAGCCAUCACAAUUGAUUGGUAGAAUUUCACUCGGACAACAAGCUGGACAUCAAGGAACAGACCCUGGUAACAAAUGUUGCCGAGUUUUGUCACUAUGGCAAGAAACCGAGGAUUUUUUGGAAGCAAAACUGCUUAAAGACUUAGGACCAUAGGGAUUACUACUUAAUGCAAUUUCUGUAUGUAUGCUGGAGGGAGUGUACAGGUCUACAGUCUACUGUGUCAUUUUUUCUCUCACGUGAGCGGCUAUAUUCUUCAUUUAUGUUGAAAUCAAGCAGCCCAAGAGCUUAUACCUAAUACACGUACUUAUUUGGAUAAAUUUUCUGGUAAUUACAAGAGAAAAAAUGAAAUAAACAUUACACGCAAGUUAAAAUUAUAUAUAUAAUAUGUUUUGACAAAGCUUACAUACAAGUUAAAAUUAGUUUUUUUUAAGAAGUUAAAAAAAAAACUUACUUAUUUUCACCUAUGGGUGAAGUUCAUUAAUUUAAUUUUACUUUCUUAUUUUCAUUUCUAUGUAUAAGUGUUUAUAAGAAAAUCUAUCCAAACAAUCUAAUAUGGAUUGCGGCCCUAAUUAAUAAUAGAAUGUGGUUGGGCUCGUUAAUGUUUAAGUUUAGGUAUCAUGUUGUCCUAAAAGUCUUAACUUAAUAACUCAAACAUUUCUAACUUAUUCUCACUUUUUUUUUUUAAUUUACUCGUUGUUUUGAGACUUGUAAAUUCUCCGGCACAAUCAAACACCAUAACUAUAUUAUUCUUCAAAUGCUCGAGAAUCGGAAGUACCACUAAUCUUAAGAGUGUUUGUUUCAUGGAUUAUUUUUUAUUUUCAAAAUAUCAGAAUGAAAAUAUUUAUUCUCAUAUUUAUUAUGAGAUAAUAAAAUAAUUAGUCAGAUAUACAGUACAUUUUUUUAUAAUACUCAUAAAUAAUAUUUUUAUGUUAUAUUUCUAGGAUUAAAGAAAUAAUAUCUGAAAGAACCCCCCUUAAUCCUCCUCUAAUUUGUUGUCCAACUUUGAAGUUUUAGGCUUUAGUAGUUCUUCAAAACAAGGAUUUUUUCCUCAUUAGCGGAGAGUGACCAUGGCAUAAAAAAUUGCAAUCAUUCAGGCUUUUGUAAUUUCAGAAUUAUAGAAUUGUGGGGAAUUAAUAUAAUGGAGAAAUUAAUAUAUGAUGAAUAAUGCGGACUCCCAAUUAAUUUUGACUACUCGAUAUAGUGUUCAUAUUGAAAUAAGCAUUUAUAAUAUUAUAGUAUGGUCAACCAAACAUAAAAAUACAAUAUGCCAGGACUGAAUAGAAACUAUAUAUAUUGAAAGAUACAUAAACAAUAUCAUAUGAUGUAUUGGUACAAAUUAAAUAUUGACUCUAGCUUUUCUCUUGUUCUCCGUUGGAAUAACUCUAGCAGAGGAAUUUCUAAGGGCACUCGUUCUUCACGAAACAUAUAUAGGGCGAUGUAUGGGCUAGCUCCCUCAACACUUGAAAGGUAACUAGCUAGCUAUUCAAAUAGACGAAACCAUAGAAAGGUUGUGCCAUGCAUAAUUUAAAAUCGCUUUCCAGCUUAUGAUCAGCUGCAUCCAAAGGUGAAAAAGGAAGUGAGAAACAUAUCAAAAUGGUUAGUUAAUGUUACCAUGGGAAAUCAUCUGUCUAAAUCAUGAACUUAUGGAUUUGUGCAUAAAAAACACAGCAUAAAAAAGGUUAAUACGUCUCUUUCUACCAAGUCAUAUUACUUACUAUAUUUAUACUUCUCUAACUUUUUCUCUUUAUAUUUACCUAGAGAUAUUGCCAUAUUGGUGUCCACUCAUCUUUUUUAUAUUAUAAGAAGAUGAUUCCCCAAGGUAGAAAGAAACAGUAAUAUAACUUAAAAGUAUUCUAAGACAAAAUUAUAGUGUUUGUUUGGUUUAAGUAUUUCCUGCGUUCCAAUGCACAUUGAACACAAUUUUACGUGAGGAAACUUUGGUGUUCAACAUGCUAAACGCCAAUACAAACACAACCUCGAGUCAUUUAAGUUGAGCGAUAUAAUGUACAUAUGGUUGCAUAUAAAGGAUUGGUACAAUGCUGGAAGUAAUUGAUCGAGUUGUUUUUUUCAUUGGUCAUUGCGCCCCUCUAGCUUGUUUUAGUUUUCAUGAUCAAUUAAUUCAUCCUGAUCAAUGAAUUGUUAAAAGGGCAUUCAACAACAACUUGGAACUUAUAAUAGUGAAAGAUGAGUGUACGUACUUACACAAGUUGAAGAGCAGUCUGGUCUUGACGUGAAUAUUGAUUAUUAUUGGAAUCUAUGAGAUUAACAGGGAAGAAAUUGCGGUCAUAUGAUUGUGAAUUAGGUAUGGUUGACUCGCACUCAGUUCCCGGUAUCAUAUCCUGUUGCCGUUGUUGUGCUCUCUCGUUUUCAGCUAUCUACAUGCAUCAUCCACCAACUAUAUAUUAUUAAUCAUCAUUCAUCUUAUUUAACUAUUUAUAGAGUCUUGGAGGGAGUUAAGAGAUCACCUUAGCUCUCAGAAAAUUAUUAUGGUUUUGCAGCUCUAUUUCCUGCAUUUUUUUCAGCAAGUAUAAUGUUCAUGUUUGAAGAAAUAUAAAUAUCAAGCAUAAAUUUGGAAGAUUUUAUAAUUCCCUUUCGUGCCAAGUAAUCAAGCCAUAUUUUUCAGGAUUAUUGAUUUUUUUUGGGUUUAAUAUCCCGUUUCAGUUUCAUAUUCUUGGUGCUAUAGAAAAUAUGCAUGGUUUCAAUAUUGUAAACCUUUGAUAUAUUUUCUUCAGAUACUAUAUGCAUAUAUAUGAAGCAAGUAAAGCAAACUAAUAGCAUCGAAUGAAAUGGUAAGUACCCGCUUUUGCAUGAACUCGAUAUCCGCAAACAAAGUUUCAUGCUGAAAGAAUUGGAGAGAGUAAUUAGUCCGAAGGAAUAGAGAUACCUUUCUGCAAACAAAAUACUAGGCAAACCAUUUUAUUCAAAAUACUAACUGAAAUUAUCUUAAUUAAUUAGUUGCUAGUUUCUUACUACUUGCAUAUUUAUAUAAAAUUCACAAUGCCUAUUUAGAAGCUUAAGGUACCUUUCUGGAUCUAACUCUGCUUAAACCUUUCUCCAGUCUACUCUCAAGGUUCUUUAAUUCCUUUAGACUCAGAGAGCUAAGACCUUCGCCAAGGAUGUGCCUGGAAUGCAAAAAUUGCCACAUGGGUUUUUUCAUUCAAUGGAGAAGUACUGUGUUGAAUAAUAUUAUUAGGAGAAAGGAACUGACCUAUUUAGAUUCUGAAUGUCUCUGAUUUGUCUUUUUAAUUUGGACGCUUCCUGCUGAUAGAACUGAUAUUGAUAAAUAGUGUCAAGUAGUUAGAGAAACCUUGUGGAGGAGCAUUAUGAUAUAGCAAUUAAUUUAGUGAUAGGAGAAUUAAAUUAAUUUAACUAGAACACAGAACAAGGAUAAAACAAAUUACUGAUUAAUUUUUAAGUGUGAUGCUUUGAAUUAUGUGUUGAGAAACAUGCAUGAUAUAGUCUAUAGAGCUCAAGUGAGGAGAGAACAUGAACAUGAGAGAUAUUAACAAAACAAUGCGUAAUAUUGAUAUAUCAUGAGAGAAAAAAGUGUGUGUAUAUAUAUAUAUAUAUAUAUAUAUAUAUAUAUAUAACUGUAGGAAAAACUAACUAAUUUAACUGUUAUCUUGUUGAGCUAAUAGAUUAGCUGAUUUCUAACUAUUUCAAUCUGUAUAUUAUCUAGAAUGUAGUAAAUAAAAAAGGUUAAAUUUCGGUAAAUUAUCAUCCUAUUUAACUCGCCAAAAUAAGUUGCGUUGGAUUAUGCAAUUAAAUUUCGGUAAAUUAUCAUCCUAUUUGCAUAACUUGCUAAUUCAACGGGUCAAAAGGCAGGUUGAAUUGAUCCAUCCGGUUGAAUUUUAUUUCUUUUAUGAAUUAUUUAGUUGGAUAAUAUUUUAGUUGACAUAAUCUUGUUGACCUAUUAUUUAUUUUGUUACGUUACUUGAUAUUUAUUAAAGUUUAUUUAGUAAGAUAGUAUUAUAGAGAUUGUGACAUUAAUUAUAUUUAACUUUUUAUAUAUUUAUGUAUUUGACAAGUCAACUCAUCAGUUAAAUAUUUUUUUAUAUGUAUUUUUAAAAUUUAAUGACCAAUUCAAUCCAACCCAUAAUGUACUUAAGUUGGGCUGGAUCGAUUGAAAUUUUCAAUCCAAUCUUAAAAUCUGCCCAAUCCAUUUUUAAUUUUGAGUUGAGAGAGUGUUUGAUGCAUUUUAACAUUACAAUUGUAAAAAAAAUCCCUAACAUGGUCUCGCGUGUGACUCAUGACACGCCUCAGUACCAAACUGUCAAAUAUUAGUGAAGAUGACCCUUGAACAUUUGAACUCGUAAAUGUCACAUUCAAAACUAAGCAUUAGAUGGACUAUUAGAGUAUCCUGAUGAUAAAAGAUUUUAUUGGCUUUGAGAAGAUUAUAGCUUGGAAUAAUUAACCUUCACGCUGUAAUUCUAUUAAGAAAAAUAUGCCGUAAUUUCAAAAACAGCAUUUUCUACCAUUUCUUUGAUUUUUUUUUUAAGUUUACUAAAUUUACCUGUGUAUUAGCUUCAGAGACAGAUUCUGCAUUUGUGGAAGCAGCACAUGCUUUCUUGUACCUUUCGAUAGUCCCUCUAACACUGCAAAACAAUACAACAAAUAGAAACAUAAGAACGUACAUGCUAAUUUUUCCAAAAACACAUACAUAGUGACGACUUAAUCUGUAGUUUACAAAUUUUAAAAAAUAAUUAUGCACUCAUAUUCUUUGACAUUGAAGUUUUAGGUCACAAAGCUCAACUUUUGAUUUUUGUCCUUUUAUUUUUAAUUUUCAUCCUCAAAAAGUUAAAAUCUUAUUUUUGGUCUAUACUACUGUGUAACAUUCGUUAACGGCAGUGGAAUGUCAAGUGACCCUCCCAAGAAACAACCAUAGUGUCUUGGUACAAUGUCAACAUGUAAUAUCUUAAAAAAUAUUUCUAGAAAUUAAAAUUAAAAUAUUUUAUAGGAAUCAAAAUCAAAAUUUGUUCAUAUUAUAAGGACUGAAAUCAAUAAAUUUAAAUGAAUGAAAAAUAAAAUAAUUUUUUUAUAAGGUUCAAAUAACUUGUUAAUUUUAUAGGGAUUAAAAACAUAUUUAAAUUUCAUAAUUUUUAAUUUCAAUGACCAUUGGAAUCUAUAAAAUUGAAAAAUUACAUUACAUCUAUUACAUAAGAGAAAUGAUAGGAACAAAUUAUCUAACACAUUCUUUUCUUUGUUAUCGACUAAAAAUUAUAAAUUAUAAAAUUUUGUGAAUCUUAAUUUCAUUUCAUUUAUAAUAGUAGAAUGGAUACAAAAGGAAAUAUUAUAUAAAAAAACAUGAAUGUUAACAUGAAACCCUAGUGCCCUUACAUGAAUCUUAAUUCUUAUCUAGUGAGCCUUACUCAUAUGCUAUUAAUUUCUCUUCCAUAUAAAUAGCUCAGUGCAUGGCCUCGUGCUUUAGUUUCUUUGUUUACCAUACAAUGUUACGCCCUCUCCCAAUUUUACUAAUAAGAACACAAAUUUUAGUUGAUUGAGUAUGGUUAAACAUAUGAAGUUUCAUUCUUUUGAUCCUAAAGAAUAUGUUAAACUCCAUCUGUCUGAGCUUCUCUAAAGUUCAAAUACAAAGUAGUUAUUUACUGAGUAUGCAGGAAGAGGUCGAUGUUUCAUCAGUGGGUCGGGUUGGUGUAAGUUUAACUUUCCCUUUAACUGAAAUGUCCAAAUUAAAACACAUAUAUAAUGGAGAGAAUAGGUAAAGAAUUGACGUCAGGAAUGAGAAGCUUUAUUCCACAAAGAUGAAAGCAAUAAAAACAUAUGGAAAAGAGAACUAAUUUGCCUUUAGCCAUUCUUAGAAUCUGCUAUUAUCAUCAUGUUACUUUUACCUACUUAGGGUAAAGAAAUCAGAAGUGAGGAUAUAUAUAUAUAUAUAUAUAUAUAUAUAUAUAUAUAUAUAUAUAUAUAUAUAUAUAUAACUUCUUUCGGAUUUUAAGAUUUUCUUUAAAUUUUUUUUUUUUUGUUAAGGGGGGAAAGAUCGAAACCAUUUUUUUAAAAAAAUAUAGGAGAAGAGGAUGAGAAAAUGAGCUUGAUAAAAUUAAAAAAGAAAAAUCAAUGGAGGUGGAAGACCGAAGACUCUGCAUAAGAUUGAAGACAAUACAUUUCUGCCCUUGCUCAAAAACUAAGAAAUCAUGUGUUUUUUAACUGUCCAGGAAAACUUCUAAAAAUAUUAAUUUCUCGUAAAAAUUGUUUCUCUACACUUCAUAAGUUUAUAGUUUUAUGCACAAAAUCAAAUUCUUACAUGUUUGCAUUUUCAUCUUACAUUCGAUUUUUUUAACCACGUACAGAACAACUUAAAUGUAUGAUCUUUAUUUAAAGUAAAAUCAAAUACUUAAACGUACGUUUUCCUUUUCAUCUUACAUUCAUUUGUUUUUUGUUUUGCGUACCCAAAAGAAAUUCAAGUUAUUUAUAGUAAAAUCACCAAAUAAUAGUACCCAUAUGGGCUUAGAAACGCCCUAACCAUAUUAUACUUUCCUCCAUUAUGAAAAGCACAAAAUUUACCAAAAUGGAAAACAAAUUGGGACAUCCAUUAACCCUCGAUAUACUUAUUAGUUUAAAUUCAUGAUUUACUCCAUGCUCAAAAACAGUUUAUAAUGAAAAUUUAAAUUAGUAAGAAUUUAAAAAAAAUAUUGAAACAUUAUAUACUAAAAAAGCCCUUAAUUAAUUAUAAACAAUUAAUCGAGAGCCCUAAUAUCUAAUUUGAUUGCUUCUUCGUGUAACCUCAUUGUACGGAGAUAAAAAGAGAAACUAUAUUAGUACGAUUUUUUGGUAUAAAAAUAAAAAUAUUAGACAAUAAAAAUAUAUAUAAAAAAGAGAGUAUAAGAUAAGAUGAUUAAUGUCAUAAAAUAAAUAUACAAGUUUACUUUAUGUGAGUAAAAGUCUGAAAGGGUUAUUUAGUUUGCAGUUUCUGCAUAUUAUCCUGUAUUCUAUCUCAUUAGAAUUGAAGUGGGGUCUUCCUCCAACGUUAUGUACAUAUGUAAAAACGAAUUGAAGUGAUUGAGGUGUGACUAAAUACUAAAUAGUGAAAAGUCUGAAACCCUAACUCCAAUUGGAUGAGGUGCUUGUGUUGUGUCACUAUACAUUGACAAAUAAGUGGUAUUAAGGAGGAGUCAAGAUGGAAGGGGUCAUUGAAUGCAUGACAGCUUUGUGCAGCAGACCAGACCCUUUUAAGAUUUGAUGGAUGACAAGUGGAGAGAGAAAUUCAAGAGAGAGGGAUUGGUAAACCUUAACACCAGGAAGCUAAGAUUUCUCACCUGCAAAUCUUUGUAACCCUAACUAAAAGCUUUCUCUUCAUCUGCUACAUAUGCUACUUUACAUUGUUUCAUUGUAACGUCGAUAUUUCUAUCACUUACACAGAUCUGCACCCUUCUAAACAAAUCACUGGGAAGACGCGUGUGAUAGAGCAACAAUUCAGUACAAGUUUAGAGAGAAUGAUAUAUACAUGGGUGAACCUAGUAUGAUACUUAUUUACUUAAGGAAUUAACCUCUUUUAACUAUAUAAUAUUCAAGAAAUAAUUAAGAUUAUCUUCUAACUAUGUCUUAUCAUGUUGAUGUUGUUAUAUAAUACCACAAAACAAACAAAAAUAAUAAUCAUAAGAACGAAAGGUCUCUUAAUUAUAUAACCCCAUAAAACCCUUAUUUCUAAAUAUGAUUUUAUAUGUUUUUUUAAAUACUUAUGUAAAGGUUUUUAAGGUAUUGAGAGAGAGAGAGAGAGAGAGGAAUAGUGUGUUGAAUUGAAUCAGAAGUAAAAGAAUUAAUUUGAACCUGUUGUUGGCAUACUCAUAGAGGCGUCCACGGCUUGAGAAGACAACAAGAGCAACCUCAGCAUCACACAGAACAGACAAUUCAUAAGCCUUCUUCAGCAAUCCGUUACGGCGUUUGCAGAAGGUAACUUGCCUAUUCGUUGUGUUCUCGAUCCGUUUGAUUUCUAUUUUCCCUCUCCCCGUUUUCUUCUGAGAAUUAGACCCUUCUGAUAUUAUUGCUUCGUUGGGAAACUCCAUCUAUGGCUGCAACGACCCACCCAAAGCUAGCUAGUUAAAAAUUAUAAUUAGCAAAAAAGUAAAACACCAAAGUUGAUAUUUAAUUUGGUGUGUCACUUCAAAGAUGGAUGAAAUUAAUUAAGAGAACCCAAGAAGAAGCUUUGAAAAAAAAUGGUCAUUAAACUAUAAGCUAAUAAACUUGUCCUUGAUAUGUAUGAAGAUAAUAAUUAAUCAAAGACAGAAGGGAAAGAAACAAGGGGUGUGUGUCUAGCUAGCUAGCUAGUUAGGUUGUUGUACCUGUGCAAUGACAACUAUUUGUAGUUCUUUGGUGUUAUGCAACAAGUGAGGAGAAAAUGUUGCAAAAUAUGGAAGUGGUAUGGCCUAUGAGACAGGUAUUAAUGGACAGAAAAUAGACCCUCCAACUCUCAGUACUGAAAAUAAUAAUUUGGUAGUAACUCCUUGUGUAAUGUUUGGAGAAUAAAAGAAAAAAAAAGGGGUAUAGUGAGAAUUGGGGUUUGGGAUUUCACCUGUCAACUUCCAUGCCCAAUCUAUUAUAAACCGUUCAUUUUCUUCAUGUAUGGAAAAAAAGUGAGGGGGGGACAACGAAAGUGUCUUUUUGAAAGUGACUUUGUUAAUGUGUGGGGUUUCAUUCAAUUCCAAUGAGAGGGACGUGAACGUAAGUUUGCACGCAAAAGCUUGAAUUUUUGAAGCAUAGCUGCAGGGUUGCUUCUUGGAUUUUGAGUUUUGGCAUUUUAUCCUGAUAGAAUCUAGUUUUGUUCCCUCCACUUCAGCCCCGUUUCUCUUUCUCUCAUGCUUGAAACCUCAGUUUUCAAUAGCUCACUCUACCCGACUCUUGCAUUUUUUUUUAUUUUAAUUUAGGACAAAUUAAGUUUGGAUUCAUGUUGAAAUAUCAGGUAACACGAUUUUAAAUAAUAUUUCAUUUUAUGUUGAAAUUAAAAUCAAUUUUGCAUCUGGAAUUGACUGAAUUGAUAAAACUUUAACUUAAUUAAGUGUGUGGAUUGGUUUCAUAUAUAUGUAGAGAGAGAUGAUUAUAUAUAUAUAUAUAUAUAUGAAAUAUCAGUUUUAGUUAAAUAAAUUUUUAUGUUUUCACAAUAAAGAAGUUUGAGUUUUAGAAUUGAUAAAAAAAAACAAGCAUUCAAACAUAAUCACCUAACUUUAAAAUCAAUUUUAAUCAAAAUUAAUUUAAUUCAAAAUCAAUUUUAUCAACACUUAUUAAUUCACACACUAAAUAACUUUUGUAUUGGAUGAAAUUUUUUAAUUUUAUUACUAACUUCUUUUUAGAAUAAAAAAUAUGCAAUAUAAAUUAUAGCACUUCAAAAUUAAUUUUACUAAAUCUCACUCAAACAAACAUGUAGUGUUUGAGUGAGCAUGAAUUAAUUAAUUUUAAUUAAAAUUAAUUUUUAAGUAAACUAAUUUAUGUCUAAAGGGUUUAUUUAAAAAAUAGGUUAAUAAUAAAAUUUCAUAUGAUUUUUUUAUCAAACACAAAAAUUAUUUAAAAUUAAUUUAAAUUUAAAUUAAUUUUAGACUAAAAAAUAAUUUAUCAAUAUGAAGCCUAAUAUGUGAAUAUUACCCUAUAUUUACAUCUUAAGUAUGUGAGUUAGGUUUACUAAUAUUAUAUUUCAUAGGUCUUUUUUGUUGAUUUUAUACAUAUUUCUUUUCAUAUAAAUAAUAACGUUUUUUUAUCGUAAUUAUUAAUUUUUUAUUUUUAUUAACAGGAAUUCGAAGUCAUAUUUAUUUCUUUCUCGUUUAGAUAGCAACUUAAUGUUAUGUAUUUCCGUUAAUACAUUUUUAAAAAAAUUUACGAUAUUAUGAUAAGUCAUGAUCAAAUACGAAACAUACUUAGUGUAACGUCAUUAAAUUCCAUUUCCAUGGAAUGUGAGUACAGUUCAUUAUUUAAUUUAAUUUUUUUUUUGUUGCAGAAUUUAAUUGACCAGGUUUUGUGGUGACGUCUCUGCACAGGCUUCCCGUAAGGCGUCCUAAUCAUAAUCUUAAAAUUCUUCAAUAUCUACCUUGUAUUUUGGGUAAUGGGAAAAUCAGACUCGAUCUGUAUUUUCAGUUGCAAUUCUCUUCCUUCUCGUGACUCUCCAGUACCUUGUUGAUUUGAACGACUUGGUUAAUCUUUAAAUUACCUUCAUUAAACAUUCGUUUGAAUUAGGUGUUACAUUGUUAGGACCACAACGGUGUGACCUCACAACCUUGCGGAGUUAAUUAUGGUGGAUUGGUGGGUACAUAUAUAGACUCAUCAUCAGGAACAAAAAAUAUCUACGAAACCAUUAUAUUUAUUUUUGUUGUUUGAGACUGUCUACAUGAAUGAUACGAGACUAAAGAUUGUUAUUUGUCAGGAAUUGUAAUUUAUUUUUACUACAAUAUAAACAACUGCUAGGUUUUUUUAAGAGAAAAACAACGGUUAGGUUGACAUGGUAAUCAACUAAUUGUAUUUAAAAAAAAAAAAAAAAACAAUUGUACCAUCGUACUUGGCUCAUGAGAUCCCCACAUGCUUAGAUCAGGGCAAUCCUUAACUAUCACUCAUGAACUCAGUCACGACACAUAGAGGAAUAGUUAGCGAAUGUGACUCGAACAUUGCACGACUCCCAUGACACCUGAUAUGUAUAUAUAGAUCCAGAUGAGAGACUCACACGUACAUUUUACUCAUCCCAAUUAUAAAUACAUAAACACUAUAGAACACCACUAAAUUGCUCUUUGGAGUUUAUUUUGUAGAUAUUUCCCCUCACUUUGGAGAUCGGAGAUUCCUAUGAGAAUGAGAGGACAAGACAGCUCGGUCAAAACUCAAUCGUCGAAAUUCAAUGGGAACAUUUUGGUAUCUAACCUCAACUUCAAUACUGGAGAUCGGAAAUUCCACUAACAAGGAAAUGACCAUUCGAUCGGACCUCAUCAGAACUCAGUAGUAACAUAUUGUAUUUGAAAGAACAAUUAAAUCAUAUAUAAGCUUUUGUGGAAAAAAAGGAUACUACGUACUAAAAUAUAAACGUUGAAGUAAAUUACAGAAAAUGCUAAUUUCAUAACACGGUUAUCUUCAAAUUUUAGUGGCCCGUUUAAGCCCUAGUUAAAUCAAAUAUAUGAAUGCAGUUUAUGUAUAAGGUAUGCAUGUGUUAUAGUUAAUCGAGUUUAGAUAAUUAGAAUCAAAUAUAUGAUUAAUGGUACCUGUGUUACAUAAAGAGACUAAUUAACCUAAGUUCUGAACAAGUAAUUAAUCAAACAUUGAAGUGAUAGAUGUUGGGCCUAAAUCCAGAGCAUAACCUUUACGUCAAUGAACUACAAAUUUUCACACUAGAAACAUACAUUGAACUUUUUUUCCUUCGUUUAAACUCCUUUUCUUUUAACUGUGUUUCCGCGUUUAAUCAAAUUUUACGUGUGUCGACCGAAAGUUAGAAAUUAUAACUAAUAACAGACUCAAGUUGACGUAAUUUUUUCAUGAUACCUACGUAUUGCUCGGAGUUUAGAUGCUAUAUAAACAUGAGUGAUGACAUGGUUUUAAAUUGUGCUUCCAGUUGUGUUACCAUGAACUAAAAAAUCUUAUAGGUAAUUGUAAGAAAAUAUGAUUGAUCCAGUCAUGAUUGCGGUUAUGAUGCGAUUGUACAGAAUCAAAAUACCUUGAAAUUGCGAUUGCAAUUGUUAUUACAGACUCCAAUUUAAAAUCAUGAGUGAGGAUUUUAUGAUAGAUCGAAUCAAUGUUUCACACUACACCUGGAAUAAAAACCUGAGUCGUUUAUUAGAUCUAUAUCUUCAUAUGCAUGCAUGUACCUUAGCUAUUCAUUUUUCACUGUAAAUCUUUACUCACACUUAAAAUAGUCGUGCAUUUGAUAUUUGAAUGAAAUUUAUAGAGCUUUCGAUUUGAGAUAGUCCCAUCUCUAUUUGGGUUGGUCAAUCAUGGAGCAUGAAAAAAACAAUAGUUUAGCUAGGCCAGGCCAAAUUAAUAUUGAGCUGAAAUUUGGUUAGUUCAAUCAAAUCCUUGACGAGCCGUAGUCCAAAUGAGUUGGUCACUAAUAACUCUUUUAAAAUAUAAAAAAUAAAUAAAAUUAUCAAAAUAAAUUAACUUUUACGUAACAAGUCAAUAAAAUAUUUUUGUAAUCAUUAUAAAUUAACUAAAAUACAAAAAUACAAGUUGUUAAUUUUUCUCUAAGAUAGAAUAAUGUAAUCCACAAUAAUAGAAAUAAAAUAGUGUGCAUGGAUUAAAAGCCACCAUUAUGUGUUAAUUACAUUAUAUAUUGAGAUGUUUUAGAAGGAAAAAAAACGUUUUAUGGUGAUUUUUAAUAGCCAAUACCUUAAAAAUUAUUAACACAACCUUAAAUCUACAUUGGCAAAAGAACUAAAUGAAAAAAUUUUAAAACAUAAAGAGUAAAAUGAAUUUUUUGAAAGAGGAAAGAUCAAACUAAAAAAAGUAAGGACCAAAAAUGAUAUAUAUUUAGUCUAUUUAUAAUAAUUGUUGUUUGAUUGUGUCUUUUAUACACAGUUGAUCAUAAUAUACUUAAGAGAUUGGGAUGCAAGCAUAUUUUAUUUUUUUAUACACACUAGAAUAAAUUAAGAGAUGCCUUAGCAUCUCAUACAGAUAGAGAAUAACAGUGUGUAAUCUAUUUAAAGCCAUUUACAAUGCAGCAAAUUUAUAAUAGUAUGGUUCGUCAACCAUGUCGGAUGAUAUAGAUAAUGUUAAACACAUAUUCUAGUUAGAAGAAAUAUAAUGGUCAAGACGACAAUUACGCUAAAUAUAAUAAUUGGUGUGUGUGUUUUUGGGGGGGGGGGGGGGGGGGAUUUAAUUUGUGUAAGUUGUUAUUAAGUUUAAAUUUUGUUAAUGUUUACAUAAAAAUAUAUGACUAAAUUAUUAAAAGGACCGAAUGAAGCUUUGUAAGAAUGUUUCAUUGUGGAGAAAAAAAAUUUAAUUAUGGUGGUUAAAAAAAAUGGAUAUACUAUUCAUCCUUGUUCCCAAAACUCUAUUAGGUAUAGAAAUGAUUACAUAUAUCUUCAUUUUUUCUGGUUUGUUGAAGGAAUUUAUAUUUCUACUUUUUGUAAGUGGUAGGGGCAGUCGGGCAGAUAUUACAAGUUAUUAGCAUACUUCAACGAGAAAAUGAUUUCGCAAACAAAAUUUUACAUGUAAUCAUUCAUCAUAUAUCUUUUCAUAUACAUAUAUAUAUAUAUAUAUAUAUAUAUAUAUAUAUAUAUAUAUAUAUAUAUAUAUUGUCACCAUUUUUGAUAUGGACAGUUUGAAAAUUAUAAGCCCGAUUAAAAGAAGAAACUGUUCAUUAGGUUGAACUACUUUGAUUAGUCUGAACCAAAUGCCUUUCGUUUCAAUCAGAUGUUGCAAGACGACACCAUCUUAUCUUCAUUCACUGUAACUGAUGAAUAAAUUAGGAUCCUCUUUGCAAACUGUUUCUGUUUCAGAUAUCAAAUACCAUGGAAAAGUAAAACAGACGAUGGAUGGAAAAUGUAGCUUCAAUACAUCAUUGAGAUAUGAAUAAUAAAAGUUAUCUAACAUAAUUAAGCAAUAUAGUUUGCUCCAAGAAAACAAUUAAGCAUAGUAAUAAGCUAUCUUUCCCAAGUUUUCUUCUGUCUGCAUUCUGCCAUUGAUUUGUGAGUAUAAGAUGAAAAUGUAUCAUCAAAUUUGUCUGUUGUAAAAUCUACUGAAGAUACGGACCAGGCAAAGGAAAUCUUUCUCAAUUCCUAAUGCCAUAUGCACUUUUAACAAAUGCAAUUAAAUCUUCUUUUUUUAUCAUAAAAAAAUUAGAUUAAGGAAAAACACAUCUCAUUGCCAAGUCAAAAAAGACUAUUUAAUUUCAUCGAGAAUUUACAGUAAAAUUUGCACAUGUUUUUUUAUCAGUAGAAGGAAAAUUUUAUUAUUAUACUAAAAGGGUACCACCGUACCAGUGGUACCUUUCAAACAGAACCAUACAACCAUAAAGAAAACUGUCUAAGACCUGUUAAACUACAAUUCCUUUUUUUCCCAAAAUCAAAAAGACCUGUUAAACUACAACAGUACAAGCUUACACAUCGCUUACUAAUAAAAAAAUAUAAUGAUCGAACACAAAUCACAGUCACAAUAGUGUGAACGAAACACUCGACUAGAAAUUUUGGUAAUGCAGUGAGUUUCUUUUAGGUACAAUGUAAUAUGUAAUAUACUAAUGCAUUGCUGGAACGCCUAUAGCUUGCCAGUUAGUGCCAUCUAAUGUCAUAUAUAGGCAUAUUCAUAGAUUUGGUUAUUGUGUGAAUGGUCCCUAGCCAUUAUUUAGAUUUCAUACUCUAGCUACGUAUAUUUAUUUCUAACAUUGUUGUUGAACCUUACAUUCAAAUUAUUCCCAAGCCAUCUAUUCGGAGCAAUUAAUUUAAUGCCAAUAUUAAGGCUACAUUCUAUUUCCUAGUCUCCUAGGUGACCUAACAUCAUAAAAGGAAAUUUGAAUCCUUGAAGUUUCUUCUUUAAGGACCACGUUGUUCAAACAUGGAAAGAGGUUUGAUAAUAACCAUUGAUAAGUGCAAUUAUUCCUUCGUACCUACUCAUAAUCAUGGUGUCUGAAAUUUGGGCAUACAAUCAUCUUCUCCUUGACAAUUUCUGAUCGUUCACAUGCCAGCUAGUUAAAGUUGGUUGUAAACAUGCAUUUAUAUGACCAUUCAACACUUACAACUAAGACAAUUCAUAGGUGUUUUCCCAGAGAAAACGAAAAUUCCCAAUACAUGCUAGUAAUAUAAAUCAGAAGGUCUAUGAAAGCAGAAACGCUUGGUCAUUAAAUUAGUUAGAAGGUAAAACCAUGCACGAAGUAAAAAAUAAUAAUACUUGGUAUCCCUGACAACCGAAUUACAUAAUGUUAGUUAAAUGUAACGUUAAAAAGAGGUAAGAAAAAAAGCGAAAUAAAUUAUUAGCGAUAAAAAGAGAGAUAUAAAAAAAAUGAGAACAAAUAACCAGGUGUUGAAGUUAGUGGGAGUCUAAAAAUCAAUAACAGUCGUGUUAAUGCCUUACUCUCUAUUCUCUAACUCUCUUUCUGGGUGUCUAUUAUGACUGAAGUGCAGUCUCCAUGGAUAUUUUUCAGAUCAAGUAUUAUCUUUUAGGGAUUGAUGACGACAUGGAAACCAAUUUUUUAUACUUACAUAAGAAAAAGAAAAAAGAACAGGAAAGGAUUUUUUGAGGGUGGACAAAAGUGAAGAAUGUAGGACAAGAAGAAGGAUUUGAAACACAUAAACGCCCAUUUCUACACUUCAACUAUGAUUACUGAGAAUCUUUCAUGUGCUGAAAAUGGUUUCCUUGCGUUGAACACUGAUUCCUAGAGAUGCUACUUAUUUCCUUGCAAAGCCUCACAAUAUUUCAGUAACCAUAUAGAUGUAUACCAAAAUCUUGCUUUUUGACUGGGAAUGUAGGUGACUCAAAUGCCUUUGUCAAUUUUCUAGCCAAAAAGCUAGGUACUUCUUGUACGUUGAACAAUACAUUCAACAAAUUGGUCACCAAAUAAGAAGUCAAUGGACAGAGGAAUAAUUUGAUCAUCAUCAUAUCGGUAAAUUUUACCACCCAUAAAUUUUUGAAAGUCAACGCUUACGGAGUAGAUUCAAUCUUAAUGAUGAUUAGAGAUUUAAAUAUAAGACAAUUGAGGAUAUUAAUUGAACAUGCUAGACAUGCUGCCACAAUACAGUUAUACAUGUUGCCAGAAAUGAGGUUGUUGCUUCUAUUUGACUAUUUGAGUACACCAAAAAAAAUCUUAUAUUACUUAACAAUCAAAACUAAAAAUAGUUUAAAAAUACCCUCUUCUCUUAAUUAAUCUUGGUGUCUUCUUAAAGACAACCAUAAAAACUCACGAAAACUAAAAACAGGCAAUACUUUAGAUGGGAUGAGCCUAGCAAUACUACUAUACUAGUAGGCUUGGUCGGAAGUUGGAAUAUAGUUAUAUAUGUUAAUGGGCAAAAGACUUCUUUUACAAAUUCCAUGAUGCAUAUAAUUGCAGAAGGACAAUGAUAAUUGAGCAGGCUAGUUCUAAUUAAGUGGAUUACAAAUAAGUUAGUACCGAUCAAAAGGACUAGAACAAAUAUGUCCAAGUUGAAGAUGUAAUUAGUUGGCUGGUAUACUAUUCAAAUAUAACAACAGCAAAUCCUAUAGAACCACCAUAUCAUUGAAGGUUCUGAGAGAGAAUAAAUUAAUAGUAGGGGAAAACUUUGGAACUAUCUGGAAGAAUUAGAAAAAUGGAAACAGGGCACAACAAAAAAAUUGGGUUCUGUAUCCCGAAGAGAAGAAGCACUUGUGUCUCAUAUGCCCUAAUGGAGAAAACAGAGUUAACAAAGCAAAAUAGGAUAAUAUAUAUGUUAAGAAUGCCUAGUAAAAGCAAGUCAGAAAAAAAAAAAUUACUCCAUUUUUUGUGUUUUCCAAUUGCCCUACACCAUCUACUUGGGUAAUUCAUACUCAUACCAAUCAAUACGUAAAUGUAUGGACCACACCACAACAGCAAUAUUGUAAUCAUAGUUAACAGCUGUGAUUUGUGAAGCACAAGUCAAAAUCUUAAAACCCUAGUAGCCAAAUUGAUCAUUGAUGUGAGGGACCACGACUAUAAAAUACGUAAGGAGUUGAAGAGGGCAAGAAGGACAAUUAAUUGUUACAAAGAAAUCAACACUCUGGCAUGGGAAUGAUUUUGUAGGAAACAAAAAACGUGUACCGUGUACGUACGAUGAAACAACUUGUUAACGUCAUUUAAAUACUUCUAUGCAUUUCCUUUGAAUUGAUUGACCACAGAAUUGGUUGGGGGUAUACUUGCAACAUUGCAACCCUCAUUUUUCGUUCUUUUUGUUGGUUGGGAUCAUAAAAGGAAAGGAAAAUAACUUUUUUCUUUCCAAUCCCUCAUUUUUCUUUGUGUAGCUUAUCGUCACGACCAAAGAUAUUUUCGUGAUCUUUAAAAAAAAACAUAAUAGUUAAUCAACCUUAAUAGGAUAUGUUUGAGUGUCAACACGGAAAGAUCCAUAAUAAUCUAUAGGGCGCAUCUAGCAUGGGAAAGGACUCAGAUGUCUCUCACCUUGCAAAGAUAAGGUGGGGCGUCUAAUAUAGGGGUUUUUUUAGAUAUGUGAGGGAAUACCAUGGGUAUGCUACACUAGAUUAAAUAAAAAAGAAAAAGAAAAACAAUAAGCGGCACCGUUCCUUCUCCCUCUCGAUUUUCGUCACCCACCAUCUCGGCCGACGCAUCCCUCUUGCGCUUUUCUGAUAAAUUUAUAUACAUACUGAUCUAAACAUGCAAAUCAAUUUAAAUAGCAUAUUCAGACGGAAGUUAAAUAUUACGAGCGUACCUCCAGUUUUACAGAUCAAUCUCGAAGCGGCGUAUACACGAACCCAAAAACAAUUUUGUAAAAUUUGUCUAUCACAUAGUUCAACUAAUUUUGUCAACCAAUUUCGUUAUCAAAAUGUGUGCUUGAGAAUACGAACGUGAGUUUGUUACUGAAUAUAAAAGAAAAAAGAACUAGUUAAAAAAUAAAUUUCCGAAAAAAUUACAACAAAAGAAAAAUAAAUAAAAAAAUAGAACGUGAAACGUGAUCAUUCCAUCUCUUCAUCAAAUCUGGCACCAGUAACAAUGCUACGUCACAAAUCACAAUAGUCCUACACUUAUCUUAACAAUCCUAAGUCACAAUAGUUUAUUUUUUGAAUUUAAUCUAGUAUAGUAUGGACAUUCACACAAUAGUCCUAUACUUAUCUCAAAGAAUAAUCUUACUCAUAUGUACCAAAUUUGUUUUCCAUGAUGGGAGAUUUGUUGAGUUUUCCCAUACUAGACGCUACCAUAAUCUACAAAAUCAAAUUGCAUACAAAGAACAAAUUUGUUAUGACAAACAGUGGACAUGGAUUUUGCUCUAUUUCUAAUGAUCUUUGGAUACACAAAAAAGAAUGAACUUUCAUCUUUUUCAUGAGUGUGGGAUCAAAUAUUUCUUACGUCACUUUUUUUCCUUAAAUGGAUAACUAUCGUCAGAUAGAAUUUUUUUUAGCACUAGUUGAAUAGGCAACUAAUCCUCUAGCUGCGCCUCUUGGCGGCCUCAACAUCUCAUCAUGUCUUAGCCUUUUCAUUCUAUCAUUUUCUAUACCAAAAAAAAAUUAUAAUUUAAAUUUUGAUUUUUGCUUUUUGAGACAAAAUCAUUAAUUUAAUCCUUUUAAUGUUUUUUUUAUAGUAAUAUGAACUUUUAUAAAAUUUUGUGACAUCAUAGAAGUUUGUCAAGUAAUUUCAAGAAACGAAAAUAAACUUCUUCUAUCUUCAUAAUACUUAUUUGAUAUUUAAACAAUAAAAUUGAUGUGAAGUAAAUAUUGUGGGGAAAAAGUAUGGGCUUGGUUUAAGUGGCCCAAUAAUGUUAUGCUCUGAAACCAAAAAUUGGAGGCCCAACAAUGACCUGGUUUUGCAUCGUUCCUGUUCUGUUCUUCACCGCGCCUCGGUUUCCAUUCCUUCUUCUUCCUUUGUGUUUCUUUGCGUUCAUUAUACCAUUCCCAUGGCUCAAUAAUCGUUGCUUUGUUCGUUGGGUUCAAGAAAAACGCUCAAAAUUUCAACCAUGGCUGCAACCCUUACUUCAAGAUGUUCUCUUCGUAAGUCCUUACUUUUUUAUUCUGCUUCAUCCCCAGUGUUUUCUCCUGGGUUUUCAUAAAAGCCUUCAAUUUUUAGCUAUUGAGCAAAUUUCUAUUAAAAUUCUGUUAUUUUUUUUUCUAUUAGCUUAGAGUCAUUGAGCAAGUGUUAUGGUAAUAAGCAUGCAUCAGUACUGUGGUUGGAUUGUUAUUGUUGGAUUAUUAUUGGUUUCUUACAUUUUUUAGAUCUGCUAACAGUUUUGAUAAAAUAUUUUAUUUUUUUUAAUUAUAGUUCAUGCAGUCACACUGUAUAUAAAGAAUUUUUAUCUUGUCAUCCGAUGAUAAAAUGUCGCUUAGUUUUACUUUGUUGUUUGCUUUUUUAAUAGUCAAUCUGAAGUUUUGAAAUUUAACAUAUUAAGCUUUGUGUAACUCGGUAGGCCAAAGUAUGCAUUGCAUUCAUUAUGUGAUGGAUAAAUCUCCUUACAUUUUUAUUGCCAUGAUAUAUAUAUUUUUCCAUAUUGAUGAGCUGAUUUUUUCAUGGAGCAGUAAUUAGCUUUGCUUUGGUUUCAUGUGUUGAAAAUCAAACUAGUGGGCCGUUCUUUGCUUGGUGGAUUAAGGAAUAAUAACUUGUCUGGUUCAUUAACAUCGCAUGAGAUAAAAUCCAGCAAUUUCUUAUCCCAGGUCAGUUUAUCAAUUAUGGCAAUAUCAUAGCUGUGAACUUGUGAUCACGGGUGAUAUUUUCAAGAAUAAAACUUAGAUAAGGUUUGUUUGGUAUUGUUGGCUGUUGAUGUUGUUAUUCAAUUAGAAUUAGAGUUUCAUUUUUGGUAAUCUACAAAAUAAAGUUUGCAUUAAAGGACUAAAAUGGAUUAUCAGGGUAAAACUCUAAUUCUAAUGGGAGAACAGCGCAAACAACAUCUAAAGAACUGAAUCUAAGUUUUUCUUAUUUGCAAUGGCAUGUUAUUUAUUUGCUAAACUUGGUCAUUUCAAGUUGUGGACAAGCUUGUAAUUCAAAAGUGCUAGACAUGGAAAUUGGAAUGAUUGUUAGAUCCAUGCAUGACUGAUGAAAGAAAUUGUGUGGCUUUAGCAGCAACAUCACGUUCAUACAGAUGAGGACGGUUCUGAAGGUGGUUGAUAACUCGGGGGAGAAAAAAGUAACGUGCAUUCAAGCAUUGAAAGGGAAGAAGGUGACACAAUAAUAGCAUCAGUGAAGGAGGCACAUGCAAAGGGGGAGGGUGUGAUGGAAGUGAGGUCAAGUUUGAUGACAAGCAAGGCCAACCCAUUGGGACUAGAGUUUUUGGGCCAGUGCCUCAUGAACUCAGGCAGAACAACCAUGUCAAGAUUCUUACUUUGGCCGGCCAUAUUGCUUAAUUCAGCUUGCAUUUUCUUAAUUUGGAAUUUGUGUGUGUGUAAAAUGUACUAAUUUGGUUUUAAUCAAGCUCUAUUAGGGAAAAGAGGAAAACGAGAGUGUACAAUUGAUGCCCUCAAUUUAGGGAAAAGAGAAAAACACAUGUAUUGGAACUAAUUUUUACCAUUAAAAAUAACAAGUAGCAGGCAAAAGGGAUGCAUUAUUUUUUAUUGCUUCUUGUGUGGAGGAAUUAUUAUGUUCAUGAUUGCACUUGAGAAAAAAAAAAUCAUAUGUAUAGGUAAUCAUAUUUUGCUUUUAGUGCUAUUAAAUCAUCUUGCCUGGUUUUUUACGAAGUUAAUUUUGUAAAAUUAUAGUCAAUCCGAUGAUCAAAUGAUCGGUGCUUAAUCUUCUUUUUUUUUUUUUAAAAAAAAAAAAAAAAAGGAACCGUGUGAAGCUAUCUCUAUAAAUAGAUAUUUUCGUAAAUGACGUUCCAGUUACAAACUUUUUUUUUUCCUUGUAAAAUAAAUGCAUAUUACGCAAUUGAAAACGCCACGAGUGGACAAAAAUUACAAAUAGCGUAUUAAGUACAUCAUUCAAACAUGACAUUUCAAUAUUCUUUAACUUUUUUCCCAUUUUGCUUAUCGAUAUAGAAAAUGUGUCUGCAUAUAUAUAUAUAGUAUUUAUUUAUAUUUUAAAAAAUGUAUUAUAGUUCAAAUGAAUUUUUUUAGUAAGUAUUAGUUAAUUUUUGAAUUAUGCAAUUUUUUAUAAACUUGAUGUGUAAUAAGAUCAAUUUAACAAAUAUCAUUUUUUUGGACGGCAAAAAAAAAUAUCAUAAUGAAAUUAACAUUCUAAAAGGUAUUGAAUGCAAUAAGCUAGAAAGCAUACCAAAAAAAUAAAUAGAAAAUUCAUGAUAACGUCAAAAAUUAAUUUUGACCAUUAAAUGAAAUGGAUUAUCAAGAUUAAAUUUAAGUCAAAUAGUUAUGGUCAAGAUGUUACCUCUCAUUUCUUACUUUCCCAUUAGAUAAUUGUAUAUAGAUUUUUAAUAAAAAGAUACUUUUCGUAUAAUGAUAGUGAUGAAAUUUGAAUUUGUCGCCUUGUACAAAUUAUUCAAACUCCUCUUCAGGCCCAAGAUCCUAGUGACUUUCAUGACAUUGUUCAAUCUUAUUUUAACAUUUUAUUUAAUUAAUUUGAUUAUAUUAAUAAACCGAAGAGAUAUCAAAUUGUAUUAAAUAAUGUGAGAGCACAAUAUUAAAUACAACUACAAAACUUUUUUGUGCUGACAUUACACGAAAGAGGAAAUUAAAUUCAUGUAUACAUACUAUACUGUACUAUAGGAGUAAUGUACAACACAAUUCAGAAAAAUAAGAAGGAAGAAAUUUAAAAUAGAUUCUCUCGGGACCCUAAAACUAUUAAUGUAGUAGGGUUUGAAUUAGAUUGAAUUUGAUGGGUACUACUAUUUUGUCCUAUACACUAAAGGCUGUAGUAUUAUUUACGCAACUCUACCGAUAGGGGGAAAAACAAUUGAAAGGAUAGGCACCUUAAUUGGUAAACAUUUAAUGCCACAACGACAAAAGGUAAUACGAUAACUCUCGAAUAUGCACCAAAGGCACGUGAAAUACCAAAGUUUUGGCAUCCUUAUAUUCCCCUCCCGUUUUGUUACACAUAUACCUUAAUCUUUAUGGUGUCUCUUUCCUCUCUUGAGAGAAAAAUAAGACUUUUGGGUCAUCCCACCAACCUUCCUUUCCUUUGAUUUGCAUGCAUAUCCACAAUUAAUACAACUCAUAUUCCUUCAAAUCUCAUACUAAAGCUUGAAUUUUCCCACCUGGAAAGAUCUGAGUAUCGCAGUUUCUUCAUCAUGGGUGUCCUUGGAACAAUGGUAAGACAUUUGGACACAAUAAUAGGGUGCACAAAUUAAUUAAUCUCUCUCCAUUAAUUUGCUUUUAAAAAUAUCUGUAAUAAUUUGUGUCGUAUAUGUUAUACUUUUCACACAAUUAAUACCUGAGAAAUCCCAAGAACAAAAUUCAUUUUAUGAAAAACAUAUUCAGUAAAAUAUGUACUUUCUGCAAUUUAACACGCACACACACUCAUUGUAACUAUAGGUUUUUCAUUUUAUGUUUUUCCCCCGUAAUAACAGCCUGUUUUUUGUUUUCUGCAUACCAGGCCUGUAGUGAUGCUUCUUUAUCCUCUUCAAGUAAAUGCCAUAUCAUGCAAUAAUGUAUCAUUUUCACUUCAUGAUUGCUAUAUUUCUUAAUUAACAAUUAAUAAGAAAGAAAUUAAGCAUCCUACGCAAAGGCAUGCAUAUUAAUUAUCUGAUACUAGAUAUGACUAAUCUAUAAAUGCUUGAUUUCCAGGUAAAUAUCACAGAUACGCGUCAAUGAGAGAAAUUGAAAGUGUGAUGAUCAACAGUGGCUAACGUAUUGGGUUUUAUACUCCUUCAUGACCCUCUUUGAGCUUUCCACUCAUGAGAUCCUUGCUUGGUAUGUUGACAUCAACAUAAUGUCAAAUUAAACUAUAUAUAUUUAUAGGCACACAACAAUUUAAUAUUUGAACUUUGGCAUAAUAAUAUAUAUAGGUUUCCCAUUUGGGGAUACCUGAAGCUUAUGUUUUGCAUCUGGUUGGUAAUGCCAAUGUUCAAUGGAGCGGCUUACAUAAAUGAGAAUUAUGUGAGGCAAUAUAUAAAGAAUAUUGGAAGAAGUUCCAAUUAUUCUGAGGAGUACAAGAAGGUCCUUCACAUGAUGACCUUCGAUGCAAGGAAAGCAGUUGAACGCUAUAUCGGUAGAUAUGGCCCUGAUGCCUUUGAGAGAGUAGUGAGAGCGGUAUGAUAUACAUGAUUCAAAACAACUAUGAAUCAUUUCUUCAUUGUAAAGCUCAUCUAUAUAUCUGUCUUUUUAACAUUUUUUUUAACUUUCAUAUGUGCAGGCUGAAAAAGAAUCAAAGAAGAGCUGAGUUAAUAGUGACUAUAUAUUUGACCAAGUUGGAAUGAACAUUGUGAAAUCGACACUUCUUUCUGUAUAUAUUUCAACAUGAAGGAGACGGAGUUUCAGAAUUAUUGUUUAAUUAAUUAAAUCAAAUGACGGCAAUUAUAAGAUUCAUUUAUUUUAUUUGUAUCUUCCAUGGUUUAAGAAUGUACGUAAGAGCAUUCUAUCUAGUUUGAUAUAGUUAUUUUCUGAUUUAGUUAAUAAAAAAAUAAAAUUAUUUGGUGAAAUUAUCUUAGUUUUUGGCUAAAUCCCUUUAACGAGUAUUCUACUGCAAUGGUUAAUAAUUGGUUUCCUCUAAGUUCCUCAGCAUAUAUAACUAUUAACUACCCACAAAAUCAUGCUUAAUUGGGAUUAAAAUAAUGGAAAAGCUUGACAAUCGCAAAAACCAUAAUGCUUUCAUAAGCAACCUUUAUUGGGUAAUACUCAUCUUCAAACAAAGCGACGUACGUAAUAGUCAUUAUGUAUAAAUUAAAGUGGCGGAAACCCAAUCUUAUAAUAAAAUAAAACCAGUUCAACCUUUUUCCUUCAACGGUUUGGCAUACACGUACUAUAUAGUAACUUUAUUAUGCAUAUACAGUAUAUAGUAACUAAUACUGUAUUGAAUGAAUGUUUUUAACAGAGUAAUUAAAAUCAGGAAGAAAAUAAAAAUUGAAACAUAAAAUCAUGCACCCGUUAGAUGAAUUGAAUUAUCCUAGACUCUUCCGAUUUUAUUUGUGGAAACAUUCUAAAACGUAACAACUUCACCCCUCCUUAUUUUCCCUUUUCAUACAAAGAUGCUGUUUGUUAUUACUCGUUAGCAUCACUUCCAGCUCGGUAAUACAUAAGCUUAAAAUACAAGAAAGUUUGGCCAAUAUAUAAAAUACUUGGAGAAGUAUGAUCUAUAAGACAAAGAAUCAAACAAGAGGAUCGACUGCGCAAUACUUUGCCUACUAACUUUUAUGUUGGAUUUUGAUAAAAAUUUAUGUUUAUUUGGUGUUGCAUUAAUUCAGUAUUUUGAUCCUCUAAUUUAUUAUUUUGGUUCAAUUUAAUCUUUUAUUUUUUUUCAAUCUGAUCUUUUAAUUUUUAAAAUUAAUUCAAUUUAAUAUUUUAAUUUUUUUUUUCAAUUUAUUCCUCUAAUUUUUAAAAUCGAUUGAUUUUCUUUAAAAAAAUAUACAUUUUAUAACGUUUUAAAAUCGGUGAUGUUGAACCAUCAUAAAACAUAAUUUCUGAAGAAUCAAAUUAAAUCUAAAUAAUAAAUUAAACUUACAAAAUACUAAUUUAUUGGUAAUAAUCGCUGGUGUACAGGCAAUUAAUAUCUGACACAUCAUUACCUCAUUUUGACUCAAAUGAAUAUGAAAUCCGUUUAAAUUUAAUAAAUUCAUUAAUUAAUGUAACGUCUCCCUUGUAAUUGAACUUGGAAUGAAUUAGUCAAAUUAAUUUAUUUUAAUAUAUUUUAUCUCAGAACUUAAGACAUGAAUGGAAAUUAAAACUAUUUUCCCAUCAAAAGCAAGUUGACUAGAUUAACUUUUCAUAUAUCCAAAGCAGUUUCUAAUCAGUUCUUUUUUCUUUAUAUGAAAAAUAAUUGUUUUCUAAAAAAUAAUCAAAGCCAGUUCCAAUUAAUGAGGAAGUAUCCAAUGGUUAAUGAAUAUAACUAAAGCCUCAAAUUCAAGUUUUAUUGAAUAGGUUAAGAGAGAUGGACUAUUCCCUUAUUAUAAAUCCCAUCUUUCUUUCCUUUCUGCUGUAUCAAAAAUAAGCACAUCAUAUAUUUGCCAUGUGGGGAAUACCAGGCUCAAAAUUAGAGAUAGAUAUCCAAAGCGUCAUUCUUUGGGGACAAAAUUCUGCAAAGGGCAUAAAACUUCAAAACUGAGAGCUGGAUGUAUCAAAAGACUGGAUGGAAUUAUAUCAAUUUUCCACCGGUUUCAGCAACCUGACAAUAUUGAUACAUGGACAAUCCUGUUAUGUUCUCAAAUGGAUAUAUACUAUGGAGGAGGAGAAACAGAUAUGAUAAAAUGAUAUAACUUACACCUAAAAUCAGUAUACUUUUGUCAAUUUUCUCUGAAUUUCUACAUCACUAUCACUGUCAGUAAUCAUCGCAGGUGAGAAUAUGGCAGAAUAGCUUGUAAUCCUGAUCCAUGUUUUAAGAGGAAUUUAGGAUGUGCUUCGCUCUUUUAGGACCAAGUCGGACAGGACCUGAUGUUACCAUGCUGUCCAGUUUAAAAGAAUUCACAGCAGGAUAACUUCCAGGAUUUUGAUUUUGUGCUUCAUGCUGACAACACCUACUCCUAGCACUGCCCAUGUGCGGAUCCAGUUCGAGUGCUCUUGUGUUUCGUUGCAAUUCCACGCUUGACUUUUCUUCAGGCAACCUAGUCAUACGACUCAAGUUUUCUUGCACUUGUAUAUUCGGUAACCUGGAAUCAUCAAGAUUGGCUGCGGCUGCAGGAUUCUUCCUGGUAUUUGCGCACAGAUGAUGCUCAUCAAACUUCAAUCUGUCAGCAACCUUAUUUAUGUUUCUGUUACCACUAUUUAUGGUAGAGGGUGUAACUGGAAAAUGUAGAGGAUGAACAAUUGAUGAUGGAGAAAGAGGAGUUGUCUGCAUGGGACCUAGAGAAGUCAGAUGAUUAGAAGGAAAGCGAACUUCUGCUGAAUGAUUCACAAAUGGAGUAGUGAAAUUAUUUCCCCACAGAUUUUGAGGAAAAUUUUGACUAAUUGAAGCAGAAAAUUGCCGAGAAAAGGUCCCUGGUAGCAUUUCAUCUGUUGAGCUUGACAACCACGAUGGUGAACUUCUGUAGGGACUAUGAAACCAAGAUGUUUUGGCCUGUUCAUUCACAGUUGGCUGCAAGAAAGGAAAUCCAAAGGCUGAUUUUGUAACAUGGGGAUUUGUGUUCUUGUCAUUCAGCUCACCAUUGGUUACAUGAGGCGAGUGACUAAAAUUGCCAGGAGUAGGUAGUACCACUGAUUGAGAGAUCAAUCCUAGAGGUUUAGCUCCAGGUAUAAACUGCUCUGAAAAGUCAUUGGAUGCACCAUUAAAUACUGAAUACGAACUAGACUUUUGAGUAAUGGGAUUGAAAUAAGAACUGGCAUUUCUGUUGACUCCAAGACUUCCAUUUUGAGAUACAUGAUUACCUAGCCGAUCAAUAAACUGUUGAGAGAAUCCAGAGUAUGUACUGCUCAUCAAUAUGGUGCUUUGUGCUGCUUGAUUGCUUUGAAUUUUUGCUGAUUGCAAUACAUUGUCAGCUGAUAUUUGUAAAGGUGAACCAGAUGCCCAAUUCUGCUUAGAACUUCUUCCCAAUAAAGAGUGAUCUAAAGCAGCAUAUUCAGAAUAAUUCCUUCUUCUGGAUUCCUCAUCAGGCCAAACAUCUCCCGCAAAUUGUUGCAUCUCUUGGCUGCUUCUACCAAUUGGAACAUCUUUACCCAUCAACCUCAUUGUUGGUUGGUUGGAACUUGGUGAGAUAUGAUCUGAAUCUUCUUUCAGAGAAACCACCCCAUUUCCAUUAUGAUUCCUGACCCGGUUAUAUGGAUUCUGUUCAAUGAAUGAGUUUUUCUUACGGUUCAACUCUGAAUUAAGUGGCGGGACAUAGUGACCGGAACACAUAUCUGAAGAAUUAGGUCGGUGGAUAUCUUCUCUCUCUCUAGAUUGUAACUCGGUGACAGGUAAUCGGGUUGGAUGAUGUGGAAAUGGAUUAAGACAAUCUUUUGGAAAUGUCUUCUGAACAACAUGAUUUUCAUUAAUGCUUAAAUUUUCCUGGUUAUUUUGAUGGAGAAUAUUAUUAAUGGGUAAGCCACUAAAAGAGCCACGUAAUGUACUUGAUGUAUCUGACUGGUUGAUCCUUAAGUCUCCACUUGAACUGAAAUUGAUUAGCUCACCAUGAGAAUUGAGUGGCAAACCAAAAAAAUUCGGAUCCAAACAGCUAUUUUUGUCACUUCCUUUCUCCCAGCCUGUAAUGGGGAAUGAGUUAUCAAUCAUAUCUGCAGAAAGCAUACGAGAAAACUGUCUGUCACCCAAGGCCUCGCCACUAUUAUCUUUAUCUCCAUAAGUUUGCAACGGAGAUUCCGGUUUUUCAUUUGCAUUAUAUGAAGCAGAAUAAGAUGAAGAAGGCUCCAGAAAUGUCUCUGUAUUUUCAUUUGAGUUAACAGCAUCAACCUGUGGAUCAUCCAAAUGGUCCAACUUCCCACUGUAGCUGAAAGAUCCAGAUUCACACACUUGUGUAUUGAUACCAGACAUCUGCUCUUCUUGGACUGCAGAAAGAGGUCUAGAAAUGUCGGCAUAUGGAGAACAAUGCAGGGUAGUUCUGUUGCCUCCAUAAAAAAACUGUGAAUCAAUAUUGUCACAAACUGCCACCUUGGUCAACAAUUCUGACUUCUCUUCUAACUGCUUCGACUUCUCUUGAUUGAUACAAGGCUUCAAGAAGCUUUGUACGGUAUCUUGUUCCAGAGUGUUAGAAAACUGUUUACUUUCAACUAUAGGGCAAACCUCCUCUCUCUUGUCUCUGUCUAUAUUAACGGCAAUAUGAUCAUAAUUUCUGUUUGGCUCCAAACUUGCAGUUUCUUCAUCACUUCCAGAAGACUUCUCCUUUACUAUUGAAGAAGCCAGCGCAUCUGAAGAUAACUUGAACAUGGUUUCAUCAAAUGAAUUUGUCUUUUUUGGACCAAGUAUAUCAUCUUUGCCAGAGAAUUUCACAUGUCUGUUCGAGGUUGGCUCUUGAUCAUUAUCAUGGCUUUCUUCAGUACCAUCUCCAAUACUACUGCCACUUGAUGUCUUUUCAGAAACAUGUUUGAAGUGGUUCUUAAGAAUGCCAUGAACAGGAGAUACUGCUUUUGGUUGCUUUCCAACUGAGUCACAGUUUUUAACUUGUUUCUUUCUAUCGAUAGAAGGAUCAACCUCAUGAAGUGGAAGCAUUUUAUUAUCAAUUGUACCUUUUAGUUUUCUGGAACUAUUAACUGCAUUUUGCACCAUGCGCUCGUAAGCAUCAUCCUGAGAUGGACAAGAUUAACAAAAUUAUGGAUGUUAUAAUAAAAUCAGAAUAAGCUGACUAAGCUUUUAGGCUAUGCAAAAUAUGAAGAUAAAUAUGUUUUUUUUUGUAAUGUAGCUUUUUUAUGGAUGUUAUAUUAUAGCUUUUAUAAGAAAAUAAAUAAAAUUACAACAACGUUUAUGCCAAAAGAUGAAUGUGAAAGGAUUUCAAUUGUCUAUGACAGUUGCUACAUUACAAUUUACAGUAACUUGAUGCCCAAAGAUGAAUGUCCCUAAAAGUUUACUCAGACCAUUAAUUGGUCAUCAAAAAGCUUUUUGUAAAAGAUUGACUCCGUUCAUGACUAUAUUAAUUGAUCAUUUUAGUAUCAAUUUUCAGAAGAGGGAAAUAUACAAAUCCAUAUACGUAUCAUAAAUGCAUAGAUCAUAUAUUUAAGUAGCCAUAAAAUACACUUAGGUACUAAGAAAAACUAUUGAAUUUUUUUGUUAUCAAUACAUCCCAGAAAAUGCUCGUAGUUAAUAAUAUAAAGUUAUUUGAGCAUAUAUAUUCUGGUACAAAUAUACUAUUAUUUUUAAAGCUUUUACGAGUGAAUAUACAUGAAAUAACCAUAUAUUAAGCUAGAUGUAGGUAUAAUUAUAUAUAUGAAUACCAGCAUGAAGAAUGCACGAGAGCUUCAAUUCAAAAUCUUAUUUAUCGAUAGUAAAAUCUAUUAAAAGCUUUUACGUAUUAAUAAAAAGUACAUAUCCCUAAAAUCGUUUUUUUUUAUUGCACCCUAAAAUCGAUUUUAAUUUACUUAAUAAACAGAACGCUAAAUAAACUUGUACAAUUUGGUACGAAUAUUAUUUUUUGGAAAAAUCUAGCUGUAACUGAAAGGUGGGGCGUAAAAUAAUUAUAUGCUAUUAAGAUAUUAAAAAUCCGAUAAGUUGCAAUUACACUAUGAUAAAAAAAAAAUUGUAAAGACAACCCUUUCUGUAACAAAUUUUCUACCUUGUACAAUUCCACUUUGGGGAAUCAUGUGAGGAAUCUUCUGUUUGAAAUCACAAGAGAUUACUUCGAAAAAUAAUACCCUAGUAAAAAUUGUACUUCUAAAGAAGAAGCUAACGAAAAACACAUGCAUGGAUGUAGCAAAUAUAAUUACAACAAACAACUAUUACAGAUUCUGAAAUUAACCAAUAUCACCAUGUGGUUAAAAUUAUUAUUGUAAAAUAUUUUUACGAUAAAUACCUUGGUUCAUUCUUUUAGAAGAAAAUUUAAAAUGCAAAUUAAUCAUUCUUUUAAAAUGAGAAAACCCUCUAAUUAUAAAUAAAAUAUUCCUAAAGUCAUUUAUUUUAAUUAAAUUAAAAAAAUAGUGGGAUAUUAAUACUUUUCUCUAAAUUAAAUGGAUUUUAUUAAAAGGGAAGGGGAGGACAAUGGCAAAUGCAUGAAUCAUGAUGCUUAAAUAGUUUUUUUUACAUAAAUUUGAGACUGCUACAUUCACUGCUGAAAUGCACAUAUCAUAUAUGAUACACCUCUGUAGAAAUUUACGUGGUCCAUAUAACCCCAUUCCAAACCUGAGAUUUCUGUAGAAUCUGAAUGCCGAAAAAAUUCAAUCUAUUUUAAUCUUGAAAAGAAAUGACAGCAAGGAAAAAAGAAAUAGAGAAAAAUAAUUAUGAACUGAAAGUGUAAAAAAUUUUACAGUCAUCCAAUUACAGUCUAUCAUAUAUUAAAAUAAUUAUCUUUAACUAAUUCAAACGAUUUGUGAUUUGAUGACGAUAUAAGACUAUUUCAAAGAGAAUCCAUAUAUAAGCAUUAAACUUAAAAAAAUAUUAUGAUUAUGGAACCAGAGUUCGAGAAGAUUUUAGGAAAAUAAAGUAUUUACUAAGAUUAGUCUAGAAACGUUAUUUAAAACAACAAUCUAGACACUAUUAAGAUGCCAUUACUGAUACAGUAAGGACAGUCAAGUUAUAAAUUUCAUUACUAAGGAUACAGUUGGCAGCAAGAUCAUAUCAUCCUUAUACCAUCAUCGAGUAAACUUCAUGGCUAGCCAAGUUAAAUAUUUGACUACUUCCACUUUCAAAUUUCGGCCAACGUAACCACAAACUGACAUUGUUUUCGGUUUUCUCUUGGUUCUAUAUACACUUAGGUUGGGUUCUAAUACUCAUCGAUUUGGUCGUAUAUAUCUCAAAACUGCCUGAACAUGUCCAAAACAUGUGUCGCUAACUUAUGUUGACCGAUACAUCGAAGUCAUUCUCCCCACAGACCAACACUUUCAGAAUAUAUGAUCAGGUGUCUCACAACGACAGAAAGUUCAAAACCAUUAUACGUACCAUCACCACUCCCUACUUCACUAAUACGCCAUAAAAAAUGCCCAUGCGAUAAUGAUCUAUAUCAACCCAAGUCAGAGUAUUCUUUUUUCUGAUGAUACAUGCCCAUCAAGAAUGGCAUAUGCAAACAUUCAUCAAUCCAAAUCAACUAAUUAUACACUUCUGACAGAUCCAACAAAUGAUCUAUCAAAUUCUGGACCUCCACUUGCAGAUCUCCCACUAGCCAAGAUACAUCCAGCUGUAAGCUGUGUAUAAACCUCUACGUCCGAAAAACUGGCCACAAGAGAUAUAUGAUGAGAAUCUGUUGAUCUACCCAUGGCCCAUAUGAUAAUUCCCCCCCCCAAAUUAUUAGUUAAUAGUGACGGGGCUAGAGAAACCCCUCAUCAUUAGACUCGGCUCUCUCUUCUACCUCGUAACCCAUGAGUGGCCCCUUCUAGCUAGGGUACUUGUACUGAUUAUACACACAACACACACACACACAACAGCUGGAGCAACAUUCUUUGCAGGCUUCACUAACUUCUGAAUCCCUUCCGCGCACGAAGGCACUUGUCUUAGUUUUCCUUUUUCGUAACACUCCCCUUUCCCAACUUUUACUUGCCGCGUAUUUCGCUCAAGUACUCAACCAAAAAAAAAAAAAAACACACUCACUUUCGUCCACAAAUAUGUGAAGCACUCUCUCUAAUCAGCUUUUUCAGCAGUAAAUUUAUGCAGAAAAAGCAAGACAUAGAGUAAGGAAAGGGAAAGCUAUAAUCCCAUGGCAUAAGAAACUACAUCAACGCAAAAUCUACAGUAACGGGUAAUAUUUUAUGCGCAAAUUCCAUGAAUUGCAUACUUAUUAGCCAGGAAUUAGCUGAAAAUCGCCGAAACAUACAACAAAUAACGAAAGAUAAACUAAUAUUUUAUGAGACACAAACCACAUACCUUGUUCCCAGUUGGUACGUUGUUGAAGGCAUUCUUCUUUUUCUUCCUCUUCUUCUUGCUCACAACUGUCUUCUUCUCAUGGUUCACGAACCACACACCACUAUCACCGUGCUUCUCCACCUUGCUUUUCUUCUUCAACUUUUUCUUGUUCCUAUUCUUCAUCGUACUCUUGUUGUUCUUAAUUACCGAAGCAACGGGACUAGCAACAGUAGCAUAAGGAGCAGGAGUGGCGGAACUAGUUGAAUCUCCACCUGAAUAGCCAUAAUCGGAUUUCUCCUCAUCUUCUUCCUCAACCUGAAUCGCUUUCCUUUUGCUGGCUUCGAACGGUGGUGCCACAGUGAGAAUCUCCGCGAUCGAGCGCUUCUUUGGCACCUUAGGUUUGGGAGGCGCCUUAGGUAUGGGCUUGCAAUUAACAGUCGUCCUUCUCAUCUGCCGCCGUUCCUCCCUGACAGCCUGUGCUAGGCAACCGUCUAUGUGCGCGUUUACUGCCGUCACCGUGGCGGCGUUGAAAUCCCGACAAACAGGACACACCAUCUCCAUCUUCUCCUCGGAGGAUUCUCCUUGGUCCGAUUUCACCUCGCCACCUCUGGGCGUGGGCCUGGAUCUCAGCGCCUCAAGCCGCCGAGAGAGCCACUCGAACUUCGUAACGGUAAUCGAGGUAAUCGAAACAUCAUUCGCCUCGCCCUUGCGGAACGGCCAGAACUUCAACACGCUCUCGAUUUGCGGCAACGGCGGCGGCUGCAGCUGUGGCCGUGGAGGCUGUUGUUGCUCCUCCACCUUGAAAAUCUCAGCGAUAGAGCGCUUCUUCAGUGGCUUCGACUUCGACGAGGAAGAUUUCAAAUUCAUAAUCCUCAUGUGGCGACGCUCCUCUCUCAUCGUCUGCGCGAGACAUCCGUCGAUGUGUGCGUUCACCGCCGUGAGCGUCACGGCGUUGAAUUCGCGGCACACCGGACAAACCAUCUCCAAUUUUUCAUCCUCGUUGUUGUUGGAGUCGGAAGGAGGCGCAGAUUUCUCGAAAUCCAUAGAUUCUGCAGAUUCCUCUUCGCUGCAAUCUCCGUCGCCAUCGGUUCUCGAAACUUCCGCAGCAGAAGGCGGAUUCUCCAGAUUUUGGGCGUGGCUGUCGUUGAAAUCGUCGGAUCUAGGGCACGGAUUCAUGGGCGGAAGCCACGACUGAACCUCCUCACGUGACGUAUCACGUGAGGAGGUGGAUGCGAAGGGCCAGCACUUGAAAACAUCGAUGGACCUCAUCUUGGAUGUGUAGUCCCUGCAACACAGCGAAUCAAAACCUAUAAAGCGUGCUUCUAUAUAUUUAUAUUAGUAAAACGAAAUCCACAAACAAUAGAUAAUAGAUAAAUAGAUAUACCUUAUGGAGAAUCCAUCAAACGUAGCCGCCAUGAUCAGUGAUUAGAUGAAGAGAGAGACUAUGAGGAAGAAGCAGAAAACUGAGAAAAGAGGAACAUGGAAGAUUAUGAUUAUUAGAUGAGAGAGAAUAAUUAACGUUUAGAAGAGAAGAAGGAAUGGGAGAGAGUGUAUUGUGUGUAGCUGUCUGCUUGCUUUUCCCUAAUUUAUGACUGAAAGGGACGUAUGAGAGAGAGCUCUAAAGUGACGACAGAUACAGAAGAAACGAAGGUGAGAGAACAUUUUAUUAGUUAAUUAAUUAACACUCAUAUUUAAUGUUGGUGCUUGCUGAUUAAUUAUUUUAUUAUUGCUAAUCAACUCUUGUGCUUUAUUCUUUUAUUUCCAUGCAUGUUUUUAAAAUUAAUUAAGUUAUUGGGACUCUGGUGUAUAAUGUGUAUUUGUUUAAUGUUAAUGUUAGAUUUGUAGUAUGAUCUGUGUUAUAUGCCCAUGCUCCUCUACUUAUAUGAAACAAAGAUUCUGCUGUAAGACCACAAACAGUCCACCAUACGCCAUCACCCACCAAACCACGCGCUUUCUACCUUCAUAAUAUCACCCUUUUUUAUAUAAUUAUUAUUAUAAAUAGUUUCCAAAUUAUAUUUGCAUUGCUUCGUUUUUUGUAUACAAUUAACGCGUUAUUUUUCAUGGUUUUGAGGUCCACUUAAAUAAUAAGAAAUAAAUAAAUAUAAAUUAAGAACUAAUGAUAAAUCAUGUGACAUUAGACAUAAGAUAAUAAAUAUUAGAAUUCAAUUUACUAAACAAAAUUGAAAAAUAUUCACUUAGUAAUAACUCGAAUUUCAGUUACUACUUAAUCUUUAUGGUUUUUCCUUGCUUAAGAAAGAGGUGUGAAAACAGGAAACAACAAUAAAAAUUAAUAUGAUUUUCUUUCUUUUAAUACUUUCAUUUGUUGAGUUUUAUUAAGUUAUAUUCACUUUCACUUUGUUCUUUUUACUUUCAUUUAGUUUCUUGAGUUAUAUUAAUCAAUUCGCUUUUGCUUUGUAUUUAGUGGCGAUCACAAAGAAAUGGCAAAAAAGAGAUGUGAAAUAAGAGUUCCUUUCUUGAGUUUUAUUAUUAAUUUAGAGUUACUUUUUCUCCAUAUUUGGUGACUAAAAGAUGAGGGGGGAAAUGAGAAAGAAGGUAAAAAUGGGAUAAAAUAAUAAAAGUCAAUUUAUUAUUUAUGAAAUAUAGUGAAGAUAAUUUUUUUUUUAAAAGAAAAUGGUGAAUCUCACUUGCAUUUUUUUUUUCAAGUAAAAAGGACUAUAAAUGAUAAAGAAACGCGUAACCAUUUGAUCUAUAAUUAAUUUUGCAUGAUGACAUAAUUUCUUUUGCAUAACAAUGUGUUACUAAUUGACAUCCACUUACAUUCGACGACCGCUAAAUGAACUUAUAUGUGUCUUAUUUUAACCCAAUUUUCAUCAACUUAUAAUUUGUGUGCCUCUUGUUUUAAUUCAAUUCCCUGGAACAAAACACACACACCUCAAUAAUUAUUAUGCUAUUUGAAACUAUUCUAUCUCGAGAAAUAGAGCGAUUUCAUAUUUUUUUUUGUGUACUUUAAAACAUCCUUCUUAGAGCAGAAAAUAGGGGGGGAAUAAAUAAAAAUCUUAUGUAGCUGAAAAAUAUGAGAAAAAAAUCAGUAGCAAACUUUUCUCUCAUUCAAAUGUUUAAAGAUUCUAUCUUUCUCGUUUUAUUUUUUCCGUGCAAAUAAAAGGUGAAACGUUAGUAAAAAAAAAUAAGGAAAAUAUAAGGUAUCAAGAAAGAGAUUAAUAACAAAUACUCUUGAAUGUUUUUUGGAUUCAUGGUUGACAUGCCUUAACUUAUAAUAUAUAAUGAGUCAAUUUUUUUUCAUUUAUAAAGAGAUUUUUUUUCUCAUUUACCAUGAUAUUUGACUUUGUAUUAAAAAUAUGAUUCUAAAUUUUAGACUGAAAUCUAUUAAAACAAUUAAAAAUAUUAAAAAUAAUUUUUACCUUAAUACUAACUUGAGACACGAUAAUUGUUUAAUGUAUAUCCUUAAUCAUAUUAUUUCUUCUAUGUAUAAAUUUAAUUAGACUUAAAGACAUUUUGAUAAUUACAUUCUGAAAAUCAAUCUUAAUUGAUAGUAUAAGUUUUCGAACAAAACAUUGUGCAUUAGAGUCUCUUUAUAAAUAAUGUUUUAAAUCCAAACAAAAAUCAUGUGACUAUAAAUUUAUAUUUACUUUUGGAAUCAAUUUUAGAACAAUUGGCAUUAAUUCAAAAUGAAUUAUACGAAUGCAUAUUCAAAAUGCUGAUAAAAAAAAAACGAAUACAUUAUUCAAGCAUGCACUUGAGCAAUGAGCAUAUUUAUAUUUUCACUGCGUAAAAUGAAACCCGAGUAGUGCGCAAAGAUUAAUAGGGUGCACGCAUUUGACGGAUAAUAGUAUAUCAAUGUUCUUCGUAUGAAAGUGAUUUGUCCUUUGAGACACUUCAAAAUCUUUAAAUAAUUGCCUACGAGCUCACCGAGAAUAGCUUCGAUGAGUCCAACUCCAUCCAUUGAUUCAUUCAUGAAUCAAGCGCCAUAGCAUGUAGACCGAUUCAAUCCAAUGUGAAUAGAAAAAAAACGAUAAAAAAAUCAAAAAAUCGAAUAAAUCAACAAUCAAACAGAUAAAAAAAUUAUAAAAGCAAAAUUUUUUAUUGCCAUCAGAUCAAAUUUUGGAUUUGAUUUUAGAAAUUGAUCCAAACUAAAUGUAUAUAUUUCUAUUCAUAAAUUUAUAAUAUCACUUAUUUCUAUUUUUAUUUCUUAUAUAUCUAUAAAAUUAUCACAUAUAUAUAAAUUAUAUUUAUUUAUGAAAAAUAUAUCUAAUUAAAGAUAUUUUUACUAAUUAUUUAAGUUAAGAUACUUAAAUAUUAUAUUAUUAGUUAUAUAAUGACAUAUAAAGAAAUAUUUGAUACUUUAAAUUAUUUUUCAUUAUAUUUAUUAAAUAUCAUACCUUUUAUUUAAUAUUUUCUUAAAAAAUUAAAAGUAGAAUUAAAACUAAAAAUCGAUCCAAUUCAAACAAUUUUAAGUUGGAUCCGAUCAAAUCGAAUUAAAAAUUUAAACCGAACCAAUUGAAUAAUAAAUUAACAAAAACAGAAUGAUUGAAUUUAAUCAUUUUUCUCUUUAAAAUCAAUUCAAUUUAAUCCAAUAACACCCCUGAUGAAAAUAAGUUAUGAUGCUGAGGGAGGCAACAAGGAAGCAAGUAUAAGAAAGGAAGAACUAUUGAUUGGGGCAGAGGUAAUUCAAAAUUACAAUUAAUGCAUGGUUUGUGUUUUUUUUAGUUUUUAGUUUUUUUAAAUUAUUUUUAAGUUAAUAAAUUUUUUAUUUAGGUUAUGUUUAGUAAAAUUAGUGUAAUUGAAAAUUGAAAAAACCAACUUAUUAUUAUAUUAGAAGUGUUUAAUAAAAUUAAUUAUUAAAAUAGUUAAAAAGUAUAAAUGACAUAAAAAUAAUAAUACUAUAAUUUAUUUUAAAAAAGUAACAAGAAAACUAAAUAAAUAUAUUAAAAAUAAAAGUGAAGAAAAAGAUAAAAAAACGAGAAAUUAGAAAUUAGUAUUUCAAAAAAAACAAAAACUUAAAACAUAACUUAAUUACAACUAUUUUAUAUUUUUUUUUAAAUAAUUAAAAUGCGUACAGUAAUAACAUAAACAUAUUUUACAUUAUCAUAUAUAAUUAAAAUUUUAGAAUAAAUUUUAAAGGCUUACGUCACUGAGCCAUCCACUUCAUCAACUUAAAACAUUGAAAGUUCAAGAUAGUAAAAGACACCUAUAUUAAAGUCCACUACAAGUGACUCAAUUACAAGACAAGUUUGAUACAAUUUAAAAUAGGAGAGCACACAUUAGUCAAGGAUACAUUUCUCUUAACCAAGAAUGAAAUUAAUGAUAAUAAUAAAAAACUGUGCUUCUUUACAUGUACCAUUUUACAUAUUAUUUUUUUAAAAAUUAUCUCAAACAACUAUUGUCCUAUUUAUAUACGUUACUUUCCUAGUUGUUUAACAAUUUCAAUAUAUCCUAUAUCCUAUUAUAUUUUUUUAAAAUUAAAUUUUAAUAGUUUUUUAAAAGAACUUAUCAACAGUUUAAAAUAAUCUAUAUAAGGAUGGACAACUUCAAUUUUGAGAUACAUGAAAAAUAAUAUUUUCUUUAUCCUCCUCUUAUCAUCUUGAAUCUUUUGAGCAUCAUUUAUGAGAUUCUAGCAUUUUUUAUUUUUUAUUUUUGCUUUAAAUACACAAAUCUGUAUGCAUCACAAUGUAAAUUUUGAGAAAGCAAACUGAUCAAGGCCAAAAUUUACUUUCAAAACAAUACUAUUGUCACAUCACAAUUACUGUCUUAUUUUUUCCAAUAAUUACAUAAUAAAAUAAUGUUUUUAAUAUAUUUUAUCAUUAAAUGAUAAAUAUAUAUUAUUAAUAAAAAAAUAUUUAGUAAAAAGCGAUAUAAAACAUUGCAAGAGUUAGUGUAGUUUAUGAAAGUAUAAUUUAAUCUCUUCUCGUAUAAAUUUGAUCUCCACCUAAUUUUAUUCAUUAAAAAAAAAGAGAAGCAUGAGAAAGAAUGAAUAAACUCAUACAUGAAAGAAAAAAUGAUGCUGCUGUUUAUAAUUUUUCUCACUACAAAUAUAAGUAAAAUCUAAAGCAAAAAGAAUGUAAAAUUUAAAAAAUGAGAAGACAAAAAAAAAAGAGAGAGAGAAGAAAACCUACUUAUAUAUAUUUUUAUUUUUUAUAUAAGAACGAAUGUAGUAUUAGUUAUAGGUAAAAUAAAAGAAAGUCAAGUAGUUGAAAAGUUAUAGUGAUCACUUCCAUUCAUCUGAGGUGAAUGUCUACGGAUUUUAUAAAUUUCAACUAGGAUUACACUUCAAGUUUCAACCUUAUUGCAUUAUGAAAAAUGAUAUUUAUAACUGUUUUUGUCGACAACUAUAGUCAUAACUUUGAUUCUUUUUAUUUUUAAAUAUUUCUUUAUAGUUAUAUUCGUUUUCAAAAAAUAUAUAUUUCAAUACUUAAUAGAAAUAAUUUUAAUAUUAAUAUAUGCACGGAAAAAUCUAAGCCAACUUACUCUUUAGUAAUCAUUGAUUAGAUAUUUAGAUGUACUUGAGACCUUGAAAAGAAAUGAUUUUAAGAUAGGACGCAUGCAGGUUGGUCGCAGUGAAUAGGAUGUAUUCAAUCUGGACAUUUGUACAUAAAAUAUACCUGGAUAGAAUGCAUCUAAUUUGGACAAAUUUAGAUAUGUAGAGCUUUUUUGGGUGGCAUUUAGAUAUAGAGCUCAAAUCAUUAAGAUUAACAUAAAUGAUAAAGCUAGCUUGUAAGAAGAAAUUGUACAUUAGAAUUAUCCAAAGAUAACUAAAAAUGUAAGUUAGUUUGCAAAUUUAGUUUCCAGUUUUCAUUUUUGUUAAUUGAUCAUAAUACAUUUUACAAUGUAUGUCUGGUUAAAUAUUUUUCAAAAUGUAUAUAUAUAUAUAUAGAGAGAGAGUUUCAAACAAAAAAUAAGAUAUAUGCAUAUGGAGAAUUAGAUUUUUAUCAUUAAGAUUUAGUGACUUAAAUGUAAAGUGAAAGAUUGUAUUUUAUUAGAUAAAUCUUAGUUGAAUGGAUGAAAAUUUUAUAAUCAAAAGAUUUUAAACGGGUAACAAGAAAUUAUUUGAUUCUAUUUCUUUUUUUUUUAAAAAAAAUUGUUUCCCAAUAAAAAUUAGUCUUAUAAUCAUCUAAAGGCUGAAAACUUUAUAAUCAAAAGAUUUAAUUUAAUUUAAUUUAAUUGAUUAAACAAAGUUUAUGUUAUAAAUUUUUUAAUAUUAUUUUUAAUUUUUACCGAUAAAAAAAUCAUUCUAUUAACAUAUUUUAUUUAUUUUUAUUUAUACUUUUAUCACAUAAUAAACCUUAUUUCAUACUUAUAUUUUUCUCUUCUUUUUUUUAUUCUCUAAAUGUUUAGAUAGAUAUCCACCAAACAUAUUUAUUUUCGAAAAGCUACAAAAACUGUUUUUACUUUUUAGAAAUAGUUAUGAAACAAGAAAGGCCACAUCUUGUUACAAUUGUUUUCCAACGUUAUAGGUACUAUGCUUAAGAAUUGAAAAGACAUGGGAUGGAAGUAUCAUGAAGCGCGUGAAAGGGACGAGUUGUGUGGCGAUGCUUAGAAUAUGAGGCGCCCCCAAUAACACAUUACACACAAUUGUUAGAAAAAUAAUUAGGAAAUCAGAAUUACGAACAUAUCAGUAAAAUUAUUUCGCAUAUAAUUAAUAGACAAAUAGUUUUUAUAAAAAUACUUAAUAUAAAAAAUAAAUAUGAUAAUAAAUGAAAAUUUAAAAAGAAUUUGGAUUAAAACAUGUUAUGUGUUAUCUUUAGAGAGAGAGAAAAAUAUUUUUAUUGUACUGGUAAAAUAAAUUAAUAUACAUGUAUCAUUCUCUCAAAAUAUAACAAUAGGUUAAUUCAAUCGAAUGUUCCGGAAAAAAAAAACACAAUCCAAAAUAUAUAUAUAUAUAUAUAUAUAUAUAUAUAUAUAUAUAUAUAUAUUUGUAAUAAUAUAAUAUAAUUUUAUAAAAAAGAAAAAUAAACAAAUGGUAUCUUGUUGAAGGUAUGUGCCUGUCUAUGUGUUUUUUAUUUUAUUUUUUCAUAAGAGAAAGUUAUAUAUAAGUAAAAAAAAUAAUCACUAAAUAUGUAGCCCAAAUAUUACAACUAACAAACUAAUAAUAGACAUAACAACAAACCGUAAAGGAGUUCUCCAACUAAUACAAAAAAUAAAGACUUAGUUAAACAUAAUUUCUAAUAGAUAAAAAAUAAUUUUUAUCUUAAAAAAAACCUGAUUGAAAAAACGAAAAUAUAUUUACUUUAAAUUUUAAAUUAUAGAAAAAUAUUUUCCAACAAUUACUUACACCAUGCAUCAUUUUGACUUUAAAGAGCUUUUGUUUGGUUAAACUUUAAAGUAACGUACACUGCAAAUUACCAAACUUCUCCAACAUACGAUCUUUAUCUUUAGCAUGUUUAAACCAUAGGAUAGGAUGCGGCCAAACACUCUCACUUCUUGUGUUUUAAUUCGGGUAGAUAGAGUUUUUUUUUUACUAGAUAAAUAUGUUAGAUAAAAUUAUAGUUGGGUAAUAGUAAAUAUAACUUUAAAUAUCAAUUAUAAUGUGAGGUAAAAGUAAAAUAUUAUUAUUAGAUGAAUUUAUAUAAUUUAUAAACCAUAAUCAAUCCAAAAAUAUUUCAUGAUCUGUGAACACUCACUCAAUCAUGCAUAAAUUUUAAGAAUUAAUAGUGAAUAUAAUAAAAGUACAAAGAAUUUUUAUAUUAGUAUUCAACAAUAAUAAAUUAACAUAUAUGAUAAAUUUUUUAUUAACUAUCUCAAUAUUUAUAAUAAUUUUCUAAUUGGUUGAUAAUAUAAUAUUUUAUAAUAAUAGUAUAUAAAGUUAAAUUCAAUAUUUUUUUAAUAUUAUAAGUAUUAUUUGUGAGAGAUAAUUUUAUUCAAGUCUUUGAUCAGACUUUACUUAAUUUCUGAAAGAUGUUCUAAAGAAAUAAAACUAACAAAAACAAUAAAACUUAAGAAAAUUCUUUUUGAAUCUUUAAUUUAAUGUAUUUUUUAUGUAUAAAAAUUAAACAUAAUAUCAAAUUUAUAAUACUCAGAUAUUCUAACUCAUUGAUAAAUUUAAUGUAAUUAUAUAAAUAAAAUUUAAACUUAAAAUUAUUAAUUAAAUUAAAGUAAUUUUAUGCCCAUUAAUUCACAUGUUAAAUGAAUAUUUAUAUUUUAUUUUAAGAGUUUAAUAAUAACAUAUUAUUAAAGUAAAAUAUCAUCGAUCAUUUAAUCAGAUAUUAUUGGUAUUAUGAUUUUUAAAAUAAUUAUAAUAAAAAUCAUAAAUUUAUAAUAAAUUGGUAUUGAAAGACUGUAUAAAUAAAAUGGUAUUUGAAUAUAAUUAGCGCGAAGAAUAUAGUUGGGGUUGGGGCGUGGCAAACUGGCAUAAUGAUGCAGGAAGUGACUGAAAAUAUCAUAGAUGCAUGCGGUCAAAGAAAACGACAAGUAUGUAGGACCCACUCACUAAUGAUAUUCGUGUCGUGUAGUGCACAGAACAGAUUAUUCUCUUUCUCUCUAAUCUAAUCUUAAUAUCACACUUUGGUUUGGUUUCGUUUGCAUCAUGCCUAGCUUCCAAUUCCAACACCCAAAUGCAAUUUUCACUUCUUAUCUUACCUCUCACUCACGAAUCCUCCUCAUAUAGGUAUGUGCCUAUAAUCAUUAUAAUACAUAAUUCCCUCAAAUUAGUCUUUAUUCUAGAUUGGAAAGUCUUCCAUGCAUUUUCUAUAUUUCUUUAGUAAAUAUGGCUUACUGAUAUCAUGAUAUAUAUAUUUAUUCCUCAUUUUAUUAUGAUUCCUGCCCCAAUCCUUAAUCAAGGGAGCAUUUCAGUAAAGAAAAUGAAAUAUAAUUUUAUAUUCGAAGGAGUAUGGACUCAAAUAUGGACUUGCUAUUUUAGCUCAACACUUUUCUGAAAGAGCUUAAAUAUUCUUUUGCUUUUUUUGUUUUUUUUUUGUUUGUUUGAGGAUUGGGAACUAUGAAGUAACAUACUGUGAUCUACUGAUUUUCAUUCCCAAAAUGAACAAAGCAAGUGUCAGGUGAUUGUGUUGAAUUUUAAUAUUUUUUAAAAUUUCAACCUGAUUUUGGAUAUUUUUUUAGUUGAUUUUUUAUUCUUUCUCUUCUAAUAUGAUGUUUUUUUUUUCAGUAACAGAUUGAGGAUCAGAUUCAAGGGCAUCAUAUUGUUGAAAUCAUUUCCUGUUUGCUGAUCCUGGGUGAUGAAGAAGUUGGAGUUGAUUAAUAUUCACAAGUCAUAACCUUUGAAGGUUGGAGAAACAGAAUCUACAGUCCAAGCUACCUCCAAGAGAAUUGAAGGUUCCCAAGUCACUUUUAAUUGAAACCUCCAAAACUGAGCCCGAGGAUCAAACAACUGCAAUACAAUAUACAACAAGAAGGUAACAAGAAAUUCUAACUAGACCACCAUCAUGAGUAUGGGAUAUUUCACUGAAAUUGUUUUAUGCAUUCAAAUGGGGAUAGAGAAGUGUUAGCAAUACACUCUCUAACACACUCCUUCUAACACCUCUAUUAUAGCUAAAAUUGAUGAAAACCACAAAACUAUGAUUGAGGCUUCUUAAACAGAAGCCAGAUGUGCAAAGUUUUGUGAUUUUGAAUAAAUUUUAGUCCAUAAUAUUAAUAGAGUAUAUUUUAAAAGAGUGUGUUAUUGAUCGACAUUUCUGAAUGAGGAAAUAUAAAUAUAAGUCAUAAAUGCAAUGCAUGAGAUUAAGCUUGUUUCCGAUAGGAACAAGAAAUUGAAAAAUGAUUGGCAUUCAUUGAAGCAAUGCUAGAUAUUUUCUGAAGCUCUUUGGGGAUCAUAAGUAAACCAUAUUGUCAUUCCAACAAGAAAGAAAAGAUGAAGGAGAUGGUAGCUGUUUGCUUUGAUAAUUAAAUGAACAAUUAAUGCUAGAGAGGCAUUGAGUAGGAUGGCAAUCAUGGAUGAGCUACCCUUUAGGUUUGUGUCAAAGCAGAAGGAUUUAGAUACAGCAUGAGUGUUGUUCAGCUUUUAUUUAAUGCUCCAUCCAGGAUGUACAAUGAACAGUUAUAAAUUUACAUAAAUAAAAACAUAGGAAAGGACUUAUUAUUAUCUCAGGAUGCAAAAUCUGAAUUAUACGUGCAUCAUUUCCCCCUUCACAGAUAAAGAGUACACAGUCCACAAGAGGAUUAUGAAUUUGUUAAAUUCCUACUGAGUACUAACAAAAGGAGCGGGGGGGGGGGGGGGGGGGGGGGGGGGACAACAUAAUUAAGUUAAUUUGACUUUAGAAAUAUAGUGAGAUUAAAAAUUCAACUAAUUGUACAAAGAUGAAAGGCAAAUCACUAGUGUCUGGGGGUGUUCAAAUAAGGUGUUAGAGUAUGCUUUUAAAUUACAAACAACAUUUUAGAGACUUGAAGAUACUAAUGGGAACUAUUUGUUUGAGUUUUUAGGUGUAAAAGGAUCUUCCAGAGACCAGAGAGCUAGUUAGUAAUGAUUGAUGACAUUAAAUCCAUGGAUAGCAAAAUGAAACGAAAGCAUAAGAACUAUUAAUUGGGGAAACUUAGUUACUUAAUGCUGAUUUUUUAUACUAAGUUUUUGUUGGACCAAAGAUAUAAAAUACUGUAAACUUUGUUGAGUUUCUUUAAUUUGCUAACUGUAUGGUUUUGAAACUGCAAAAGCAUUGGCUUCCAAUUAAUGUGAAAUAUACAUUAACCUCAUUGUUUGAGCAUUAUUUCUUUUAUUGUGACUCGUGAAGUAGCUCAAGAACUGAACACUUCUAAGUUUCAGUUCUUCAGGCUAAGGAUUAUGGAGCCUUCAUUGAAGACAUUCAUUUAUAUAUAUCUAUGGAUUUUGCUGAAUUAAUGAGUAAGAAAUAUCUAUUUGAGAACAAAAAUGAAAACGAAACCAAGAGAGGAAUCAUCUGUAAAUUGGAAUUUACUAAUUGGCGUAAGAUAAACUCAUCCAAAUAUGAAAUAUCUUUUACUUGUCAUGAUAGCAAGGAAUGUUCUUCUUGUCCCAAUUUCCGCACAGUGGCUGAUGUGAUCAUGUCAACUUUUUGCAUGAGAAGACCUCUGUAGAUGCAUAUAUAUAUAUAUAUAUAUAGAAAAUUAUUGAGUCUAAUUUAUAAGGGUUAAGCACCCAUUUGUGCUUAAACCUGGUUUUUGUGUAUAUAUAUCACUGCCCAGUGCUAUUUAUGGAGAGACAAGGUGGUGGAUGAAAUUGAUCAUGGUAAUAUAUCAUAACACUUUUAGUUCAUUCUUGAACAACACUAAUAUGUUGGAAAGAAGACAGAUAGCUUUCUGGAUCAGGAAAUCUGAUCUGCAUGCUAAUUACUCAAUAAACAAAAUGUAUGUUUAUUCACAUGUAUGUAGUACUGUACUUUGUAAUCCUGACCUUUUAGCUUUUAUAGAUUGAAGGAAAGAGGUACUAGGCUACUAGUUUGAUGAGAAUAUAGCUUAUUGCAUGAGUCAUGAGUGGUUGUUCUUGUCGGUUAUGAUAAAAAUUGUUGGCAUUUAAACCUAUUAGAUUUCAGUGUUAGCAACAAUGAACGUAGUUCAUGCUGUUAGGCUGUGCUGCUGCAGCCUUCAGUUAUGAAGUUUUUAAUGCUGGUUAUGAUUUUUAAUUUCAGUUGUUAGAUUUUAUGCUUUAUGGUAUGGUAAAGUCAUACUUUUAUUUUUUAUUUAUACUUUUGUGAAUUAACAUUAAAUUUUUCCUUAGAAAAAGUUACUACUAUAUAUAUACAAUCUUAUAAACCUGAAUAUAUACAUACAUAUACAGGAAAUAUAUAAAAGAAAGUUAUUUUAUGUCAGAGUAGGAGAAAUGAAUAUUGACUUAUUAUAGACGAUUGAGAUCAGAAUAUAAAACUCAUGCGAUUUUUUUAAAUGGUCAUGUGAUAUUAAGAAACUUUUCAUCUUAAUUAUCCACGCACAUAUAGUUAUUUGACUAAGAUUUGUUUCGUAUGUAACAUAUUGUGACAACUACAAUAUAUCUAUUAGAGAAAAAAAGUCAGACGCACGAAAAGCCAUUGAGGUAGCUAAUCAACCCAAACUCCUUUACUCAGUAUAAAAUUUGAAUUAGUUAUGUUAACUAGUCAUCCAUGUUUGCCUGUGUCAACUGUUGGAUCUCAAACGAACUUUAGUUUUGAAAUUACUUAAUUUAAUAACCUUUUUUUUUUCUUUCAAGUUUUCAUUAGUUUUCUAUUCAAUACCAUAUUCGAUUAAUCCAAGUCGACAUGGGUAAGAUUAAUAUAGCCAACAAAACCCUCUCUCAAAGUUUAAUUUAAACACAAUUACAUUUUAAGAAUUUCCAUCAAUUAAUCUAUGCGCUAGUGAUCAAUAUAAAUAAUUUAAGUGUGUCUUUACUCAAGCAUUGUGUUAACCCAGAUACUGAUAAAAAAAAAUUGUGUCAACCCAGAUCCGCAUUAUUUAGAAGCAAGAUGUUGUAGCUUACCGUAUUUUGAGUUAUUGGAUGUGGUUUUCAUAGUUAACACUUAAUACAUAUCACAAGCGUAGUUUGAAACACACUAAGUUUCUUUGCAGGUAAUUUUUUUUAAUAAAAUGUUUAAAUUAUAUUGUCCUUUAAACUCCUGACUCCUCUUUAUUAAGAGUUGAAAACAUCCUAUGCCUUUUGUUAAUGAGUAAUUAUAUAAAUAAAGUUUUCGGGACCAAUUUUCCUUUAUCUAAGUUUUAAUAUAAGUAACUUAAACACUUGAAAAAAAAAUGAAAAUCUGAACACUUUCACUAUCAGAUUUAUAAGCAUAUACAAACUCUUUAUUUUAUGAGGUCUCAAAAAUGAUAAUAGGUGUGUUUAAAAUUGUCCAUCAACAAAGCUGAAGUGAGAAGAUAAAUUUACUCGCGAAAUACUCAUUUACAAUAAAAUGAACAUAUGUCUCUUGACAACAAUAGUAUAACUUUUGGCAAUAAUAAAAACUAUUACUAUAAUUUAAACAUCUAUGAAAGCGACAAAAGAGUGUAUAUACAUAUAUUGAAACAUAGAGUAAUUUCAACUUUCAAGUAAUAAAAGAUCAAAAAGAGUAUUUACACAAAAUUACAAUCCCCCCUCUUCCCUACAGAAAGGAGAGAAAAAAAGUAAAAGGGAGACAUAAGUAACUGUGCCAAUACAGCUCCCAAAAUGGCACGCAAGUAGGAAGAAGUUGUAAGCCAAAAUGGGACAACGUACGUCUCUCUCUCUCUCACACUCUCCACAUGACACUUUUCUUACUUGGGUUAGAUUUUGUACACUACACUUUAACUUUAAUAUUAAACAUGUUUAAGAUGUGAACACAUAAUAACUAUUAACUAAGAAUGCAAUUAACAAUUUCCAUAUACAAACAAAUGAGACACCGAAACCGAAGAAAAGUAAGAUAUAUAUUAGCUUCGAUAUCUGUCUCAACCUACACAUCCAAUUCACUUUUUUAUUCCCACUUAAGUUUGUUUCUGAGCCAGCUUGUGAUUGUGUUGUCUGGUACACAAAUGGUUCAUGAACAUAAUUUAGAAAUAUUAAUUAAUAAUGAAAGAUUUUUUACAGUGUAAUUUAAUCUUUGGUUAUUAAUUAGUAUAUAAUUGAAAAUCAUUAAAUUUUUAGUAAUUACUUCAAAGUCUUAUUUACUAAUUAAUUAAAUAUCAGUGUAUCAAAUUAAUUAAAUUACUAAUAUCUCGAAAAAGUUGCAUUGUCUUUCAUAUAACUACUAAGUUAUUCUUUUUCUUUUCAUUUGUGUCUGGUGAAUGGUGAUCGCUUUCAGGUUCACUGUUUGAUUCAGAUUGUACCAAAGCAGAAUAUAUGGUUGUAACAUGUAAUUUUGGUUGUCAGGUGUGUUGUUGCAGCGGUUAAUUUUACUUGUGAAAAUUAAGAAUGAAGGUAACACUAGUAUGUAUGAUAAUGAUUGGUGUUUCAGAAACUUGGCACCGUUAAAAUUUUCGCAUAGAAUUAGAGGGGAAAGCUUUGUAAUGCUUAAAUUUUCACUUCAACCCCCAUUAAGAUAUAUUUACUUUAUCUUUCAUCUUAUUUAGUUAUUUAUAUAUUUUUUAUAAUUUCACCUCAGUUUAUCCCACAGUGAGUGGACGUAUAUAUAUCCUUUUUAUAAUAUGAUAUGUAAUUUUGUUUAUAAAAAAAUAUUAAUUAUUAAUCUAUUAAUUUUUAUUAGAAAUUGAAUUCACAAUUUUUUUUUCUUUUUUAAUCACUUAAUCAAUCUUAUAACUCCAUAUGAUAGAUAUGUAUUUUAACUAUCAAAUAGGAUUGAUAUCUGAUAUCUCCUUAUAGAUCGUGAUACAAAUUAAUAAAAUCACUUCGUGAUCAAAUUAACUAACAUCUCAUUCAAUUUAUUUAAAUUACAAACGUUCAUCUCAUUUAGCCUUCUAUAGUUGGGAAAGGAAGAAAAAAUAAAUAAUAUUGAACGUGUUGUUUUUUUGGUGCCUAAUGCUUACUGAUAAAACAUUAAACCAAACAAGCGGUAAGAAGAAAAAAGAGGCAACAAACCUUCUUCCAAUAAAAAUUCAACUUCCAUUUUCAAGUACCUGUAUGUGAAAGCGAUAAAAUUAAAACGACUUCAAUUUUGAGUUUGAUUUUUUUUUUUUUGGAAGACAAAUACAAUUUUGAGUUUGAUGAAUAUCCACUAUUAACGUAAAUGAGAUUUAAAUUAAUGUCUAAUGUAUUGGUAUAUCAUUACUUAUUAUCAUAUCAUUUUUUAUUCAUUAAAAAUGUACUAAGUUAAUGUAUUGAGUUUUAUACAGUGUACAUAACUUCUGUUAUAUAGAGAAUACAUAUUUUUUUUAUAUAAGCAUAUAGAGGAUACAUUUUUUUAAGCAUAUAGAGAAUGCAUAUUAAUUAUUUUCAACAUAAUUAAAUUUUUUGAAAAAAAAUCUCUUAAUAUUUUUUAAAAAAGCAUUGAUUGUCGAUGCCUCAAUGCGAACAGGAAAGCAAACAUUGAUUCUUAAAUUUUAAAUUUAUAUAUUUUCAAAAUUGAUUUCAGAUAGUCUGUUAAAAAUUAAUUACUAGCAGGAAAGCAAAUAUACUUUUUGGGUACAAAUUAUUGAGAAAGUUAAUCUCCCAUCCUGGUAAUCAAAGUUGUGCUAUGCUUUUGUGGGGGAAUAACUUGCAGUGAAUAAUUUUUUUUGUUAAAUUUUUAUUAUUCAAAAGCUACUUGGAAUUCGAUUCAUUCAGAAUUUUGUACAGUUAAGAUUCUAAAUUUUAGAUGUAGAACUCAUAAAUUUAUUUGAGGGAAUCAAGUUAUUUGUUACUCAAACCAAAAACCAAUAAACAUUAGCUUAUACUCAUAACAAAAUCCAUUAGUCCUAUUUGCAACCCAACCUAAGUUGUAAAAUGUACUACACUAAUGGAAUUACACAUUUAAAAUGAUUUUUCUUUAAUAAAAGGUUGAUAAAAUGAUAUAAAAUCCCAUUAUGUUUAUAUGAGUGAAAAUAAUCUAUUUAAUAAAAAAAUUGGAUCAACGGUGAUUUUGCAAGCGAUAUUAAUCUCUAACUCAAUGGAUUUGGGGACAUAUUUGGUCUCUAACUACGACAAAUUUUCUUUUUCAAAUUUUACAUUUGUGGAAAGUUUUUUAAGGAUGGAAUUAGACUUCAAUUUAUGAAUGUCCUUUUCUUCUAAAUCCUUUUCUUCUAAUUUUUUUUUGAAAUAAUGUUAUUGAUUUUUGAAUUAAUGAGAGUGUAAAAAAAAGGUAGUGCCAAUGGUCAAAAUACUGUCUUAUUUUAUUCAUUGUCCAAUGUCCAUAAUGCUUGUAGACUUGUUUGCAGUAUUGCAGGUGCAGCGGCAGCAUAUGGACACAUUCGGUACAAACCCUCAGAAUGGCACUGAACCAACCUAGACAUUAGAUGGGUCAAAGCAUGCGACAAGAUGCACAAAACAUUGCAAAAGCAGAUCCCGGCUUAAAGGUGUUUCCAGACUACUUCGCUUGUUAGAAACUAAAAAGAAAAAAAUAUUCAUGCCUAAACAAGAAGACAACAUAAUUUGAUUGCAUAUAACAAAAUGACCCUUAGUUUGUUAUUCCUUAAAUUCUUUUACUUUUGUUUCUUUCUUCUUUACGCGCCAGUAGUUAGAGGGUCUAUAGCUCUCUCGGUUGAACAUGUGAGUUAUUGUUGUAAAAUCUUUGCUACUUUUCUUUGAUUCUUAUAGACAAAAAAAAACCUUUAUGCUAAAGAUUUUCUUCAAACUAGACAAAUGAAAGGACAUUAUUACUCAACUAAAUCAAAUAGGCAGGGUCGUACAUGUCCUUGGCAGCUUGUAUCCAUUUACAUCGUCCAGCAUUCUGAUUCACAAGGUUGUCUGUUAUCAGAAUCAUUUCCAGCAGCACCAUUACUGAGGAAGAAACUUGGAAGCAAAAUACUGCCCCUUAGCUAUAUUGCAAAGACAGUUUUCGUUGUUUUAAUUUUACAGCAAAAAUCUUCGUAUUCACAAUUUCUUAUAUCGAUGGACGAAAGCAAACAAGAUGAGAUAUGUAUCGGUGUUAAAAGUAAUUCUGUUCACCGGUCCAAACAGGUACUCAAUUCUAUUGAGGCCCACACAUGAGAAUACCAGCAACGACAUGAUAGCUUCUUUAUUGAAAAGAACAACCAACGUCUUAACAAAAUAUGCCUAAAGUUAACAUCAUAUUUUAAAAAGAUAAAGCUUAGAAAAAGAACAAUUUUUUUAAAAAUAAGCUAGAAAGAAUAUCUUUGGACAAAAUUACACAAUGAUAUGUCACAUUCUUUUUAGAAUUUAUUCAACCGCACGUUGAGCGAAAGUUAUUUACAAAAAGCAAUGUAUGACAUGCAAGUAUAUGGAAACCACAAUCUAUUAUUUGUUCUCUCUUGAAACUGCAUGAUCAAAAUUCUUGUUUGGUUCUUGAUGGCAAAUAUUUAUCUGGCCGUAGAGCGAGAUGAUCGGCUACUUGGAUUUGUGCGAUUGCCCCUAAAUAUGACCUCCAGGUUCUGGAAGCAUCCAGGAGCCCUAACCUGUGUAUCAUAACAGAAAACCACACCUUAGAAAACAAAUUAUCACUCCGACUCAUUUUUGGAGUUAUAAGGUUGGUUUGGUGACAAAAGAAGAAGAGAUGACAGGAAAGGUCAUGGGUUCGACCUCCCCACUAACCAACAAUUAACAACUAUCAUUUGCUGGAAAAGAAAAACACGGUAAAGUUGCUUUGUUACCUAUUCCAUUAGGAACUGCGGAUUUUUUGGUCCAUCAUAUUCAUCAGACACGUAAAGUAAUAACUAUAUCACAAUAAAAAGGGAUACCUUCCAGCGCCUCUUUUGAGCAAGAUGGUAGUAUAUGUCUUCCAAUCUCCCAAUUAUUUGCCUAAAUGUUGGUCUUCUGUAUGGUUUUUCAUCCCAGCAUUCCUCAAUUAACCUAUGGAAAAAUCAAAUUUCCUGAAUGUAAAAUUUUUAUUCUUUUAAUUUCCUACUCGUGGUAGGUUUUGAAACUAAACCUUAAAAUCUGCUGCCAAUAAAAUGUAUUUAAAACACUCACUGUUUUAGUCCAUAAGCAUAAAGCUUUGGUGAAGCUCUAAAUGGUGGACGCUCAUUUUCAACAUAUGCUUUGGGAACUUCAUUUUCAGGCUUUUCAUAAAACGGUGGACAACCUUCAAUCAUCUAGAGGAAUAGAAAACCAUACAAGUGCCAGUCAAUAUUUUGCUUGGCAUCUCUCAAUAACCAUAGACUCCUAUAUGUAUAUACUUGAUAAGUGAAAGAGAUCCUAUGUGUAAAAGACACCAUCAAAUAUCUAAAAUUCAAUAUGCCGUAACAAUACUGAAGGAAUUUGAAUGCUGAAAUCAACAUAGGAUACAUAGAAACAAAUGAUACACCUCUCAAUGCAUUGCUUUUCCUGGACUUGCAAUUUUUUAACUAACAUGAAUAACACAAAUGUAUGUAUGUAUGUAGGGGAUAAGACUUUAUGUUCAGGAUUAUGUAAAUGCUUUUAAUUUGCUCAAAAUAAAACUGAAAAAGAAACAGAAAAUAUAAAGUAAAUUCUCAUUUUUUGAAGAAAGCGAAUGCAAUUAACAGCCUUCUAAAAGUUUUGUGCUAAGAUAAACAGAAAUUACAAAGGACGGAGAGUAUUGAAUUAGGAUGUAUUAAUUGCUCAAUACCACCAUAAUAUUCAGCAAGCAUCAAUUCAUCAAACAGAUUUUAUAUUUAUUAAUUAAUUUGGAAGUUUAGGGUUUAAAAGUCUUGUUUCAAGACCAGAGAAGAUACAGCCAUUCACAUUAUAAGGGUAAACAAUUAACUUGGAAGUCAUUAAAAAGCUCUAAAAUAAGAAAAAUCACCAUGCAUCCGAAGGUGAGGAAUAAUGAUUUUACCUCCUGUAAUAUCAAAGCAAAUGAAAAUACAUCCACCUUUGUGUCGUAUUCCUCAUUUUUAUAUACCUCUGGAGCAACAUAACGCCCUGUUACAGAUUUGAAUAAAUUCAUCAAUACAAACUAUGAAAUCAGAACCAAUCCCAAUAGGAUUAAAAUAAAACCAGUUAUACAUAUAAGAGAUGGCCAUAUUUAUAAAUCAAUUAAUAAAUUCAAAUUAGUAAAAUUGAGCACCAGCUGACAAACUGUCUUUAGUAGUCACUGAGUAGACAGCAUUUAUUUAUUUUUUUUCUUGCAAACUAUGCAUCAUAAUGCCCUCAUGAAAUAGAAGUUCACAAUAUUGCUUUUAUGCAGACCAACAUGAUUGACAAUGAAUAUUUCAAGCCUCCACUAAAGAAGAAAACCUACAUGAUGUAUCCAGGCUUGUCACGGGUUUGUCCUCUUUGACUGUUUUAGCAACUUUAAGCAACUUGCUAACUCCAAAGUCUGCAACUUUCAGAUGCCCAGAAUCAUCCCGCAGUAUAUUUCUGUUAUCUUACUCAUGUAAAAUGAAGAAACUUUAAACAGUUCCAAACACUCAAUUAAAAAUGCAUGCUUCUACUGAAAAAUCCAUGAUACUUCAUACACAUGCUGGAAGAAUAAUAAAAUCAACAAGACAGGAGAACUAAAACAUACGAAGGCUCAAGAUCUCGGUGUAUAAUGGCUUCUGGUUUAUGUUCAUGCAAAUAGUUCAUACCCCUGCAAAAUAUACAUGCAUUGUAUUUAUUACAAAUAUCCAAAUGCAAAUUUUUAAUAUAGGAGUAAAUUUUCAUUUAUUAUUAAACUUUUAAAAAAUAAAAGAAUCAGGAGAGUUUGCUUCCUUGCAACCCAACUGAAAGCUAGUGAUGCAUCCAUAAUAUGGAAGCUCUUGACUGACCUAGCAAUAUCAAGUGCAAACUUUACAGCUGUUACUGGUUUUAAUGCACCUUUCCGCUUCAAGUAGGCACGGAGAUCCCCCUAAAGAGAUGAUAAUUCAUUCCAAAUUGUUAGACAUUACAAUUGUGAAGAAUACAGGGUAUAGUUAAUCACAUUGCACACACAAGUAGAGGAGAUAUCUUCCUAAUUAUAUGCACUUCCAUAUUUUUUCACCACUUCACUAACAUGAAGUGAAAUCCCCAAUAAAGAUAAAUGAAACUCCUAAUUCAACACUUAUCAAUGCUAGAUUAAAAUGGGUAUCUCUUAUCAUUACUUAAAAUCCUUCAACGUAGAUAUUUAUAACUUCUAAACAGAACAGGAACAAAAUUGUCGGACCGGAUUCAGUUCCUCUAAAGUGAGAAAGUGAGAACCACCCAUCAUCAAUUUGAAUUAAAGUAUUUUGCAUACAUAACCGACUUUAUAUCAAUUGUAGAUAAUCCCUCACUUUUUCAAUUUACACAUCUACUAACUUAGUGGGCCAAAUCCUGUCUGGCCAAUGCAGAAUUGCAAAUAACUCCUGACACUUCAACAAUUAGUAUCAGUUCCAGUAUAACUUUUUAUCAUAUUAAGUUCUUAAUUAUUAAUUAUUUGUGCACUCCAACUGUGCUAGAUUUCCAGUAGCGCUAUUGAAACUAACCUGGGGUAGAUAUUCUGUGACAAUCAUCAUCGGUGUGCUUUGUGUUACAGCACCCAAAAACUGGACUACAUUUGGAUGUCUUAUUUUCUCAAGCAAUGUAAGCUCAUCAUGAAAUGCCUUUCUGAUAAACAGAUGCCAACAAACAAAAUCGAAUAUGAGAAUAACAAUUAAGAAUUGAAUAAUCCAAUUGACAUGAAUGAAACGACAGCUUGCAUAAGUAGACCAACCCACACUUUAUCAUCAUCAGUGAACAAUUCCUCCCCAAGUGUCUUGACAGCAACCUGAGUUCCACGCCAUAAUGCAAUCCGAAAAGUUCCCUAAAAUAUUCAAUAUAAAAUAUGGAACACAAAAUAAAUGAGGGUAAAUUGACUUGAGAGAAUAUGUCAAAACUAGGCAAAAGGAUAAAUCAAGUUACAAGACGAUUUGCUUCUUAAAAAAAAAAAGAAAAAACAGUUUUUUAAAAGCAAAAGUAGAUUAAGCAAACACAUAAAAAAAGCAGAAAAUUGUUUAUUUUUAUUAAAAAAGAAGCUUUUUUCAACAGAUAAGCUUAUACAAACUGACUCAUUACCUUUGUUAUGCAAACGCUAUUAGUAAAAUCAAGUUCAGAAGGAUCAAUCUCAUACUCCGGGACUUCACGAGCAUUUUGCACAUGCAUGGGAGCCAUCUACCAAAAAAAAAAAAGAAGUUCACAAUUGAAACAGAUAUCAUAAACCAACUAUUCUAAAAAGAGUUUAACAAUUAUGCAAUGUCAGUUGAAUUGUUUUAUACGUAAAAAUCAACCCUUUUUUUUUACUCUCUAACAGUAAUUCCGAUAUUAUUAUAGUCUUUUUAGUGAAUAAUACAAAAGAAAAUAAUAGAAGAAACUUUUUUGAAUAAUAGUUACAAAUUCCUUCAUAUUUUUAGAGACAACCAACUUAUAUGAUAAUUUGUAACUAAACAUAUAUCAGAAACUGCUGGUAUGUGUGUUGACUUUCAUAAUCAUUAUCUUAAAAGUCAUACAAAACUACUAAAGUUAAUAUCUGAUUGCUUGACAAUGUAAAAAAUUUCACACUACCAGUGGCAUGUCUAUUAAACUCUCUAAAUGAAUAACAAAAUUGGUUUUAUAUAUAAGAAGAGGGAAAUGAAAAGAAGAGAAGACACAUACCGGGGGUCUUGCACCGUGUUUCUCCAAAAGCUUGACAACGUCGUGAUUUUUGUAGUACAUUGCAUCAACUAGAGGCUGUUAAACAAUCCAAUCCAGAAAUUAGUGUGUCAGUGAGUGUAGAAUAAGAGACAGCGAGAAGAGAGAAAGAGGAAGGAGGUGGAAUUACGGUGCUGCCCCAGCGGUCUUGAGGAUCGACGUCGGCGCCUCGUCGGAGCAGCAAGCCAACUACGUCGGUGCGGCCCUGGCAGGCGGCGACGUGGAGCGCGGUGCGGCCGUCAAUGUCGGUGAAAUUGACGUCACUCCCGGCGUCCAAGAGCUCCUUAAUACCGUCCGAGUCGCCUUCGUUGGCCAGAUACAUCAACCGGACCGCCGGGUCCAGCGCCUCCGACGCGUCGCCGCCGCAGCCGCCGCGCUCCGGCGCGAGGGAGGAUUGGCGGCCGAGAGAGAAGCGAGGCUGGAGCUUCUUGAUUUCCAUUGCGGCGGAGAGGGCUUUCAGUUUUCAGAGAGAGAGAGAAGGAGUUGUGAAUUCAACGAGGGAUGAGAAUAAGAAUAAGAAGAAAUGAGAGUGUGUGAAUGAAAUUAAUUAAUAUGAAUGAUGAUUUUUGCUUAGAGGAUGGUAUCGGGUUCUAAGAGACUCACUAGUUUAAAUCUUCUGACGACACUGCCUUUCUACUUUCUACAAACUAAAUACAAUAAAUAUGCGUGUAAAGAUUAAAAUGAGUUACAAAAAUUUAUAUAUAAGUACUAAAAUAAAUUAAAAUAUAUAUGUAAGACUAAAAUAAAUAACUUGUUAAUAUAAGGAUUAAAACAUAAAAUUUGUGUAACUGUAAAACUUAAAUGAAUAUUUUUAUGAUGUACUAAUCUUUAGGAUAUUUUUGGUCAACUGUUUUUUCUAAUAUUUUUUUAUAAUUUAAAAGAAAAGCUUAGGUGGUUAAGUUGACUUUCUAAAAAUGUACUUUUUCUUAUAACUUUCCUAAGUUGACUUCCUAAUUCAAUUGAUUGCAAGUUGCAGCGUUUAAAGUAUUUUUUUUAUGGCAAACGGUAAAAUAUAAAAAGGCUAAGGGCAUAUAAUAAAGGAUCAUGAAUAAAAAAUAAAUAUCUAACCAACUUAUGAUUAAUGAACUAUUAAAAUGUAGUUAUUUUUAAUUUAGUACAAAAUAUUUCCUGACUUUAUUAAUAAUUAAUUUUUAUUAAAAAAUUUAAUUGAAUCAUUUAAAAUUAUAUUUUUUUAUUCAUAAAAUUUAAAUCUGAAAUCUUACUUAUAAAAAUUGAAUCUAAUAUAAUUCAUAUUAACAACUUAUUGAUGCUCAUAAAACAUAUAGUUAGACACUAUUUUAAUUGUCAUCUACUAUUGUUUUGUUCAAAACAUAAUAUGAUUAGUUAAAUACCUAUUUUAAUGCAAAUUUGAAUUCCCUGAUGCCACAUUUUUUGCUUGGUAGUGGACAAUUCUUUUAAGGAAAAUAUUCUAGCACUAAGGGACUAGUAGUAAUUCUCUAGGUGGAUUUCUACAAGCAGUUUCAAUGUCAUUGACAUCCUCCUCAAUAGUAUUUUUUUUAUUUGGUAAGAAAAAAAUCCAAUAGUAUUGGAAGUGAUUUCCUAUUAUACCAUUUUGAGCAACAAAAAAAAAAUACCUAUUUUAAAUUUUUGAAUUUAUCGGCUAUGCUUUGUCAUUAUAAUAGUUUUUUAUAAUAUCAAUCGAUUAAAAAUCAUGUUUGAUGUGAUUUUUACACUAGUAAUAUACAUGAAUUAUUCUAAUUUUACAAAAAAUAUUUUGUAUAAUUUUUUUAAAAAAAUUGAGAUACCAUCACAACCUUUUCACUAUUUUGAGUCGUUUUGAAUUAAUUUUAAAUUUUAGACCUAAUUACACUUCAAACUCUCUACCUCUUCACAAAAUUAUAUUAUGCAAUUAUGGAAUCCAAAUCCCUUUCUCCAAACUUAACUUGUAUUACCAAUCAAAAUAUCAAUUAAACCAUAAUUUAAACCAAUUUUAAAAUAAGAUUCUCAAUAUUUUUAAAUAUUAAUGAAAAUCAGCCCGUUUUUCACGGUCGGAUCAAAACAGGAGCUCCGAGAGGUUCAAGCCAUGGGGAUCUACCUAGCUGAAGGGUUCAGCAGUUAAGGAAAAGAGACGAAGAUUUUGAGCUCGGAACCAUUGCGAUGGCCAUGGCUUCCAACCAUCUUCGAAACCUCAAUCGCAUCUCCAUCCACCAUUUUCAGGCUCUCCUCAACGAUACUACCAGGUUCUUCUCCGACGCUGCUUCUUCAUUGCCUCAACCGCAACCUCCCUCAUCAUCCUUGAAGCACAAUGAGCUCGCCAAGUUCGCCGCCAUCGCCGAUACCUGGUGAGCUUUCGAAUCUGUUGAAUGAAUUUGUUGUUAUAGACACAAGAAAAUGGAUGACAUGUAUUUGCCCUUUCCUUGUUGAUGUCAAUAGGUGGGAUUCUGAAGGCCCCUUUAAACCAUUGCAUGUGAUGAAUCCUACGAGACUUGCUUUCAUCCGUUCUGCACUUUGUCGACAUUUCAAGUAAGCCCCCUCUUUUGUUUGCUCCUUGUUACCUCUAUUUUCUAAAAUUAUCGCGGAUCCUUUGAAAUUGAACGCAAAUCCGCCGUGCCGGACACUCUUCGAUCACCCUCUUGCCGCCGCCGACCUCCUUCUUUUUCAUUUGAGUGCCGUAACGUUCCAAUAGUAGCGGCGUGAGCUAACUGCAUAACAGAGAACUUGGGUAGAUGGGUCGGGUCUUAGGGUUUUAGCCUCUCAGGGUGUAUUUUUUUAUCUUUUCUAAUCUUUUGGGCCUUGGGCCUCAAGUCCACCGUUUCUGUUUCAUAUUUUUAAGUGUGGCUUUUUAACUUUCUGAUCUGUUACGCGGUAAAAAAAUUUGUGUACUGUUAAUAUAUAUAUAUAUAUUACAAAUUUUCAGAAUAGGUAAAAAAAACAAAAAAAAAAAUAAUAUUAAAAUAGCUGUCAUCCUGCUAUCCGUUAUCCAGCUAGGCUCUGCUCCACGAUGAUGGGAUUGACAACUAUGGUGUUUAUUCUUGAAACUACUUUGGUAGAAUGUGCAAUGCUUUGUGCUAUGUUAUAAUUUCACAUGGUAGAAAUCUUGUUCAAUACCCCUUGAAUUAAAUAUAAUCAUAUAAGGAUGUGUAAGAAGAUGACUCUAAUGAAGUAUUUGUUAGUAAGAAAGUGUUUACUGAAUUAUUUUUGUGAGACAAUCCACAUGAAGAAGAAGAAAAACAAAAGGAAAAAAGUUAUUGCUGUUAUAAUAGGUUUUUUUGUCUUUUUAGGGUUCUAUUAGGAUAAUAAUUAGAUUUCCCUUGUCCCAGGAAGGACCCUUACAAUGCUAAACCCCUUGAAGGACUUAAAAUUAUUGAUGUAGGAUGUGGAGGUGGAAUUCUUUCCGAGGUAUAUCUUUUCUCCUUUUUCUUGUGAUGUUGGGAAAAACCUUUUCCUUUUUAUCUUCUGUCCUAUGAUAAAUCUAAAUUUGGUUUAAUCAGUUCAGAGAUGACUAUAUUUGUUGACCAGAAAUGUGGAAAUCUAAUUUUUUUGACUAUAUUACUUGUUAUCGUAAUCCUCAUGGGAAUCUGUAGCAUUAUGAUCGAUUCGGAGGUGACUAAAUUUGUUAGGUGGAAUUGUGGAAAUCUGAAUUCUUUCUUUGGUGCAUAUUGUCCUCCCUCUCACUUAUAGAGUAUUAAGAUUGUUUUUUUGUUUUUUAUUUCAAAUUUGUGCUCUUUUUUGUUGUUAUUUUAUAAUUUACAGCCGUGCUUCUAAUUUUGUUCUUCAGCCACUAGCUCGAUUGGGAGCUACUGUGACGGGUGUUGAUGCUGUAGAGAAGAAUAUCAAGAUUGCUCAACUUCAUGCUGUAUGCUUAUUAUAUAUUUUGAAUAUUUGAGAUUUGUCAGUAUUGUCCUACAAUAAAUUGAUCAGAUUACUGUAUUCUGUAUAUUGGAGGAAGCAGUUGCCAACUUAGUAAAUUAAAUCUACCCUAUUUGCUAGACAACUUAUUAUUUCCUGUCAACAGGGUUUGGAUCCAGCAACUUCAUCUAUUGAGUUUUGUUGCACAACAGCUGGUACACAUAUAUACAAAUCUUGAAGCAUUCUUGUACACAUCUGUUUUACAUCCAUCCAUGACGUGCAUGCUUUAAGUCUGUUAAACAUUUGGACACUAUUCUACUGCUGAAAUGCCCUACUUUUCCUUGUGAAUGCUCAUACAGUUUAGUACACACUCUUGACAAGAAGCACAAGUCUGACUGGCAUAAUUUCCUUUUAUCUAAUUUUUUGAGUGGUCUUUCCAUGGAUUUAGACCUUUGCUGGAUAGUUUAGAGUUUCAAAAGUUGAGGUUAUGAUUCAUUAGCAUAAAAAAACUCAAAUAGUAGUAUUCACUUCCUAUUGGCUUUUGUGAUUGGGCUUCUCAUUUCUUCUUAUUCUUGCAGCUUGCAGUUAAUAACCAUUUUGGGUUAUUUAUCUUAACUUAGAAUGCAUGUUUGGCUGUAGAAAAAUCAUUUCUUUUUUGCUUUUGAUCUUAUUUCUUCCCACGAGGGUCUUACAUUAAAGUAAGAUUUUACUCUAUCCUUUAAUGUUCUCAGUUCUCACUAAACAAGCUGUUAUAUUUGAACAUAAUAAACCGCUCAAGUGUGAGAAUGAGUUUUGAACUAAAAGAGUUGUUACUUGUUACAUACUUAUUACUUCGUCCUCUCUGUAGCUCAGCAGCUGUAAGAAUUCUAGUUUUCAUUGGCGAUAUCCAUCCAAUUUCUUUACUGGCAAUUAGGUAGCAUGUCUGUAAAAAAAUGAACGCUCUUGGUACAUCAGUAUAUGCAUGAAGUAAAAGUAGCUUGCAUUCAUCUAGUUUGUUUAGAAUUGUCCUGUGUUUUUGGGUAUUAUGCACUCUCCAACUCAAACAAUUUUAAAUUGACUGAUCAGAGAAGCUAGUUGAAGAAGGAAGAACAUUCGACGCAGUUAUGGCCUUGGAGGUACUUUCUCUUUCGUGCCCCCUUACCUCUCUCUGAUUGGGUGCUUGCAGAUUGGAGUGCAUAAAUGGGUGUUGAGACAGAAAAAAGAUAUGACGUAAAAUAUUUGAUAGUAGUACAAUGCCCAAUGGAGUUGAAGGAUACAUCUUGUUGUCUUGCAGGUGAUUGAGCACGUAGCAGAUCCUGCAGAGUUCUGCAAAUCUCUGUCUGCACUAACAGUCCCAGAAGGAGCCACUGUGAUAUCCACGAUCAAUCGAUCCAUGAGAGCCUACGCAACUGCCAUUGUUGCUGCAGAAUACAUUCUCCGCUGGGUAUCCAUACAACACUUAUCUUUUUCAUCCUACAUCCUUUGCUAUUUCUAUUUCAAUCUGAGAUAAUAUAUCGUAUCAUAUAUUGAACUCCGCAGCUUCCGAGAGGCACACAUCAAUGGUCCAGUUUUCUGACUCCAGAGGAACUCGUCCUGAUCCUCCAACGCGCCGGUAUCAAUGUAGGCGAAAUGCAUUCAUAAUUCAUAAAUGAUAAACAAUUUCAUUUGCUAGAUACUUAAUAAUGGCAUUCACAUGACUCACAGGUGGAGGAGAUGGCUGGAUUUGUGUAUAACCCAGUGACAGGACGGUGGUCUUUAUCAGACGAUAUCAGCGUAAAUUUCAUCGCGUUCGGUACCAAAUCAAACAACACGGAAUAAAAUACAUAGAUAAGAUACGUGUUAUUGUCAUUACUAUGUUGAAUGCUAAUAAAACAAUAAGGGUUAAGUGCGGUGGAAUCAGGGAGAGGAUGGGCUUGGGACGCCCUUCAUACUUUAUCUGCUUACUUACUAGUAAUUGGAGAAAUACUCAAAACACAUUCAUUUAAAUACGCUCUAAUUAUGUUUCAUAAAACUUGAUAAAAUUAAAUGUUUAAAUAGUUGAAAAAUAUAAAAUAAUUGGAGAAUAAUCAAAUCAUGAUUUAUUUUUAAAAAAUAAGCAGAAUAUUUGUUAAAUAUAUUUGGAUAAAAAAGAAAAAUAUAUAUAAGUUAGUUACUAAAAAACGUUAAAAGUUAUUAAAAAAAUUUAUUUAUCGAAUAAUUAAAUGAAUUUUUUAGCUAUUAAAAAAAUUAUAAGCUAACAAAUGUCUUGUCGAAUAUAGUCUCUAUCUCAUUGGCUGAAAUUGAUUAAAAAUGAUAAUAUUAGUUGAGUCUCAUAUCAUAUUUAAUAAUCCUUCUAAUUUUAUAAUUUUUUAAUAAAUUUUAACCAAUUAGAAAGUGUUUGAAAGAGUGUGCUAAAGAAUAUGUUAUUAACAUUCUUUUUACUUAUUUGUAUUUUUUAAAAUGACUCAAUUUAAUUCUUAAAUUUUCAAAAGCAUCAAUAAGAUCUUCUAAUUUUUAAAUUUUUUUCAAUCAAGUCAUUUUUGUCUUAGGGUCCGUUUUGUGAAAUUAGUUAACUUAAUUGAGAGCUCAAGCUGGUCAGCGAAAAAUGAAGUUAUAUAUUUUUUAAGAUAAAAAAAUGUUUUUCAGAUCAUUAAAUCUAAGACAAAUAAAUAUAAGACUAACUAUUCUUUAAUAAAGACUAAUUACAAGCUAUAAAUUAGUUUAUCCAAUACUUUUACUUUUGUUAAACAAAGUUACAAGUUAUGGCGAAUUCUAGAGUGAAUCACCUAUAAAAGUGGUUCAUUUUGAACCACAAUUACCAACUGUCGGAUUGAUCUGUGAUGUAUAUUUUACCAUAGAUCCUCUCCAUCAUAACAUUCAUCUUCCCCUUCCAAUUCCUUUCCCACAACCUUCAACCACUGUUCACCAGUGCCAAUGGCUAUUUCUGGCCCAGAUUAUUUUCUCCUUUCCUCUGCCACAACAACCAAAGAUGCAACAACGUCACCAUCUUAAAUUUGUUUAUUUAAUCCAGCAAUAAGACACUUUCAAAGGAGGCAAAAGAACAUCAACAUCACCCAUUCUCCAUAACUCUAGUAAAAUCCAAUUCAAUGCUUCUCACAAAGCAAUUAACAAAUCUUCACACUAAUUAAAUUCCAAAUUCAUUCACAAUCAAAUGUUUUUUUUUCUUUCUUAUUUUCAAUUUAACUCACAAAUCCAAUUCCUGCUGUAACGAAGAAAUUGUGAAAAAAGUUAUAAGAUUCUCUACAAACCCAUCCAAUCCCCUUUUCUCUAACUACACCACCGCACCCCAGUUCGUGUUCCACUCCACGUUUCCAAAACC
rnacentral:lncRNA from 1 species